rnacentral:lncRNA from 1 species
ACCGUGCCACAUGAAAAUUUAUUCCGGGAAGAAAAAAAGUUGUCAGAAAAGUUUAACUUUUCUUUGUUCCGUUCCAUCUUAUCCACCGUUUUGUCCAAUAUGAAAUCUACAUCAUUAACUCCGAAAGAAGCAAGCAGGUGGAGGGGUGUGUCUCCUUGAGCAUCUUUCUCAUUUACAAGUCCUCUCACUCUUAAUCCAUCCUUUAUUAAUAGCUCACUACCAAAAUGAGAAGGGUGCUUCUUCAUCAUGGCAAAGUGAAAAACAUUAUUGCCAUUCUCAUCAACCUGCUCACAACAAUCUGGAGCGUGUGACAGCAGCAACUUUACUAUGUCCAUACAGCCAUUGUAACUUGCAAUGUGAAGGGCUGUUUUGUUGCUGUUUUUUAUUCCAAGGUAGAUUACAGACUUGUCUGGUGAUCUGUCCAGUAAUUGCUUGGUAAUUGCAGCGUCACGCAUGUAUGCAGCACAAUGAAGCGGAGACCAGCCAUUUUCAUCCACUUCGUUGAUUAGCAUUGGCUUCCAUCCUAGUAUCUUCUUUGUCAUUGCUGAUCAAAUAAAUAAAUGAAGAAAGAGAGGUCAAGGAAUAUUAAAGAAAAUUAAUUAUAAAAUGAAUAACCUAAUGCAUUACUAUAGGCCCUUAUAUGCACUACCUUGGUGACGGCAGAGUACAGCAGCAUGCAAAGCUGUUCUACCCUCGAUGCCUUUGUGAUCUGAUGAAGGGCUGGUGUCUAUGAUUAUUUCCACCAAGUCCCCAUAUUCUCUCUCGGCAGCCAUGUAAAGAGGAGUGUAGCCUGUACUGUUAGCACCAUAGAUGAACUGGGGGUCUGCCUCAAUCAAUAACUUCACCACUUUUGAGUGAUGAUACCGCACUGCCUCAUGCAAGGCUGUGUCUUUCUCCUUAUUUUCCAUCCUCAUCAUGGCCUGAUCUGCUCCAACCUCACUUUCCAUCUCUUGAAGUUCUUUUGCAGCAUCAAUUAGAGCUUUCACGACCCCCCAAUGCCCUUCCCUGGCUGAAAGGUGAAGUGGUGAGUCAAGCUUCAGAUUGGGAUGCCGCAGGAGAGAUGAACAUGAAUGAAAGUGAAGGAUCCAGUUUACGCAUUCCAACUGACCGAACUGAGCUGCAAUAUGGAGGACAGUGUUCUGUUUUGGGGUUCGUUGGAGUUGAAGAUGAGCUUCUGAGUACCUUCCCUGGAGGAUACUGAUAUCACCUUCAUACAAAGCCUUGUACAAGGCAGCAUCCAUGUGGGUGAUAUCAGUUUGGCCAUCAGCUGCAAUCUGUUUCGACAUCUCAGUUUGGCUUGAAAAUGUUUCCAAGUUAAGGUUCUGCGAUUCUGUAAUUUGGUGGGAGCUGGACAGAUCCAUUAUUGGUGUUGGAGGAACAAAGUAAUAAUCAACUCUCUACAUUCUAUCUAUCCAUCAUCUAUCUAUAUAUAUUUAUAUUUUGUGAACAAGUCCUUUCAAGCUUUUGUCCAUGAUUGAAAGAUAUUUUAUGUAAGAGCAUAUGUGGAAGGGUUCUUGUCCACGCAUGAAAGAUAUUUUAUUUAGAGCAUGUGGAAGGAAAAGUUGUUUGCACAUAUAUAUAUUUUUCUCUUUCUAUCUUUUCUGACAGUUCCCGUUUUUAAUCAAUUACUUGAUCAGAUUUUUAUGAUGGGAUUGUGAAGUCACUACAAAAUGGAUAGACAACUUUGGGCAACACCAAUAGGAGAUGCUUGUGGAAAAGGAUGAAGAAAAGCGCUUUGAAAAAUGGUUUUCUUACCCUGUUAUACAUUGUACAGCGUUUUCAACCAAUUCUCUAUUUUUCAAUUAUUCAAGCAUUCUACAAAAAAGAACACAAUAUAUAUAUAUAUAUAUAUAUAUAUAUAUAUAUAUCUUAAAUUUCUUCUUAAAAUUGAUAUUAUAUUCAAAAUAAAUUUUAAAAAAAGAAAAUUAUUUUCAGUCCAAAACCUAUUAAAGGUGUUUUGGAAAUUGAAAAAUGUUUUUCUUAAGAACAAAAUAUUGUUCUUAAACAAAUCACUUAUACAUGUCUUGAUCAAAAUAAUUCUCAAAAAAUAGUCUUUCAAAAUAAUUUUUAAAAAAAUUAUCAAUUGAAAAAAAGUUUUCUUAAUUCAUUCUCAUGUAAUGCAAUAAUUUCUAAAGUAUUCUUGAUAAUUUUAAUUAUUUGUUAUAAUACUUAACAAUUUUUUUUUUAAAUAUUGAAAAGACUUUAAAUUCAUUUUGAAAAAUAGCUUAUCUUAUGACAAAUUUUUUAAAAAUCAUUUUCUAUAUUUUCCUUUUUAUUAUUUUAUAAUCAUCAAUAUAUUUGUUCUAUUUUUAGAAACAAAAAUAAAACUAGAAUUAGGGAAGAUAAUAAAUAUUUUUUAAAGUUAAAAAAUGUAAUUAAAAAUUUAUUUAUACAAUCUACUUUUAAAAAUAGUACAAAUAGAUGUAUAAAUACAUAUUUCUUCUCCUUUCUCUUUUUUGGUAUUUUCUUUCUCUUUUUUAUUUAAUUGUUCUAUUCAAUAGAUUUCACUAAUUAUUAAUUAUUUAUUUAUUAAGUAGUAAUUGGUCCACUUCUCUCUCAUAUUUGGAUUAACUAAUUAAUUUGAUUUCCAUUGUAAGGGGACCCAACUAGUGGCAUUUCAAACAUGAAUCAAUGUCAAAUACUAAUGUUGAUAAAGACCAGGUAUCUACCAUAUCAAAGUGGUAGAAGAAUCACAAGGCCCUAUUACCUUUGUCAAGAUAUAUGUGUUGGCCGUACCAUAUUUGUUAAGAUGUAUGUGUUAAUAUCCCUGAAGCUUUAUCAUACAAAUUAAAAUAGUAAGUGGAAAUAUAUCAUAACACGACAAUUGUUUUUCUAUCAACGAUUGUUGUUUUGGAGAUGAGUAGUCCCUUUCAACUUAGAUUCACAAUCAUAGAUAUUUUGUAUAGCUUAUGUUUAUAUUUGAAAAUAUUUUAUUAAGAUAUAUAUAUAUAUAUAUAUAUAUUUAAUGAUUAAACAAAAGUAAAGGUAUCAAUUUGUUUUUCAUUCCUAAUUUAUUCAAUGUUAUUUUAAAACUCGAAAUUCACUCGUAUCUUUUUUUUUUAUUAAAUCAAAAUCAUCAAUAUCUCUAGCGUAACCAUUGGAAAAAUCAUGGAAACCUAUUGAAAAAUCAUUAAAAAAAUCUAUUAAUUGUGAUAAAGACCGGGUAUCCACUAUAUCAAAGUGGUAGAAGUAUCUUAAGGCCCUAUCACCUUUGUCAAGAUAUAUGUGUUGGCCCUACCACCUUUGUCAAGAUGUAUGUGUUAAUAUUCUCAAAACUUUAUCAUACAAAUUAAACAAUAAGUGGAAAUAUAUCAUAACAUAACAAUUGUUUUUUUGACAACAAUUGUUUUCUUUGUUAGAUGAGUAGUCCAUUUCAACAUAGGUUCACAAUCAUAGAUAUUUUUGUAUAACUUAUUUCUAUAUUCAAAGAUAUUUUAUGUCCAAUAUUGGUUAUAACUUUUUGGUAAUAUAUAAUAUAAAUCAAUAUCAAAUAUUAAUGUAUGAAGACUGAGUAUCUACCAUGUCAAAGGUGGAAUAAGUAUCUUAAGGCCCUAUCACCUUUGUCAAGAUGUAUGUAUUGGCCCUACCGCAUUUGUGAAGAUGUAUGUAUUAAUAUCGUUGAAGCUUUAUCAUAUAAACUAAAACAACAAGUGGGGAAAUAUAUCAUAACAUAAUAAUUGUUUUUUUAACAAUAAUUGUUUUUUUUGGAGAUAAGUAGUCCUUUUCAACUUAGGUUCACAAUCAUAGAUAUUUUUUUAUAGCUUAUGUCUAUAUUCAAUAAUAUUUUAUGCACAACAUUGGUUGUAAUUCAAUGUACUUUUCAACUUGAUUUCCAUCCAUUCCUUAGUGAAGAAAUAUUCUUUGAAUAUGUCCUCCUCCAAGGAUAUCACCAAAAAAUGCUCUGAAUUAGUCCAUUUUUCUUCCUCUUUUCUAUUUGAUUGGCCUAUUUGGUGGACAUUACUAAUUAUUAUUUAUUUUUGAAGUGUUAAUUGAUUCAUUUUUCUCUCAUAUUCAGACUAGCUAAUUAACUUUAUUUCCAUCCAUUCCUUAGUGAAGAAAAAUGUUUUGAAUAUGGCUUCCUCCAAGGAUAUCACCAAAAAUAUCUUUGCUAAAGAUCACUUGUGUCAAAAAAAAAAAAUGAAUACAUAUUUCUUCAUUUUUUUUUUUUAUUUAUCUCUCCCUUUUGGUAAAGAUCAUGAAAUCUCGUUACUAAAGCAAGAUCUGACAUCAUUUUAAGCUAUGGAUUUUACCCAAAAACUUAAGCUUAUAAUUCAAUCGGGUGACAAUACAUAUCAAGUCAUGAACUUGGCGUACACACACAUAAAUGCAAAGUGAUCAUUAUCUAUAUAUAUAACAUAUUACAUAACAAGUAAAUUAACCACAUAGAAAUCUUGGUUCAAGGAAUCAUCACACUAUCUUUGUUAUUUCGAAUAACAACGACAUGGAAAGCCGUUCUACUCAUGAUGCCAGUGUGAGUUGGUAAAGUGUGAGACUCAUCUAUGAUCUUUUCCACCAAGUCACCUUGUUGGAUAUGCAGAAGCGUUAAUACCCAAUUUGGUUGGAGUAAUGGGGUUGAUAGAAAGAAACACACAUGAAGAUAAAUUUAGGAAAAUUAAAAAUUUAUUAUCUUCUAUCACUCUCUUUUUGUCAUACAUUACAUAAUCUCCUAUUUAUAACUACUCACACUAAACAAAAUAGAAACUCCUAAUUCUAACAUAUAGAAACCUUCUAGGACUUAACAACUCAAAAAUAUAAACUAGUAAUUAGAACAACUACUCAAAAUAUAAUAUUCUCCUUUAACCUUUUAGAAACUAAAUUUAAUUUUAAUAUUUAGAAAGCUCCUAAUUCAAGUUUACUUUCCAACAUACCCCCUUAAACUUGAUUUGUGACUCUAAAUAACAUCCUCAACUCUAAAAAAUCAUCAAACUUGAGAGACUUGGUUAAAAUAUCCACAAUUUGAUCUUGAGAUUUUGCAAAUUUUAAUUGCAAUUCUUUUUUCGUUUAUCAACUAAAAAUGGGCCAAAUUUAGGGGUCAAGUUACUUAUGUGGAAGGUAUGAGAAUAACCCUUAGACACAUCUAAACAUGUUACUUAACGGUCUCUAAUAAAUAAUAAGAGAGACUUUAACAUUUAAUUAGUUAAUCAAUGUAUACAAAAGAAAUCAAGAAACUUGAUAUCUCACAUAUAAAGAUUAGAAAGUGGUUAAAACUGAUAAUGAAAGAAUCAUUAAAUUUUUUUCUUUUUAUUAUUUAUAAUCAACAAUAUAUUUUUCUAUUUUAUAUUUUUAAAAACAAAAAUAAAACUAGAAUUAAGGAAGAUAUUAAAUAUUUUUUAAAGUUAAAAAAUAUAAUUAAAAAUUUAUUUAUAUAUUCUACUUUUAAAAAUAGUACAAAUCGACGUAUGAAUACAUAUUUCUUCUCAUUUUUCCUUUUUGGUAUUUUCUUCUUCUUUUCUAUUUGCUUGGUUUAUUCAAUGGAUUUCACUAAUUAUUAUUUAUUUUUUUAAGUAGUAAUUGGUCCUCUUUUCUCUCAUAUUUGGAUUAGCUAAUUCACUUGAUUUUCAUCACAAGGACUUAACCCGUGGCAUUUCAAUUAUAAAUCAAUAUCAAAUAUUAAUAUUGAUAAAGACCGGGGAUAUGUCAUAUCAAAGUAGUAGAAGUAUUUUAAGACCCAACCACCUUUGUCAAGAUAUAUAUAUUAAUACCCUUCAAGCUUUUAUCAUACGAAGUAAAACAGUAAGUGAGAGAAUAUCAUAACACAACAAUUGUUCUUCUAUAGUCCCUUUCAACUUAGGUUCACAAUCAUAUAUAUAUAUUUUGUAUAACUUAUGUCAUAUUAAAAGAUAUUUUAUGUACAAUAUUGAUUGUUAUUUUGUCGGUAAUACUGUUUUUUUGGAGAUAUCCAUCUCUUUCAACUUAGAUUCACAGCCUAGAUAUUUUGUAUAGCUUAUGUCAUAUUCAAAGAUAUUUUAUCUACAAUUUUGAUCGUUACAUAUUUUGUUGGUAAUAUAUAUAUAUAUUUCAAAAGUAAAAAGGUAUCAAUUUGUUUUUCAUUCUUAAAUUUAUUUAAUGUAAUUUUAAAACUCAAAAUUUACUCUUUUUUUUUUAAUCAAAUCAAAACAUCAAUGUCUCUUGUGCAAACAUUGGAAAAAUAAUGGAAACCUAUUUAAAAAAAUUCUACUAAUUGUGAUAUAAUUACAAAUAAAAAAUAAAAAAAAAAUCUAUUUUUGAAAAAAAAAGUGAAAAAAGAAUUUUUUUUUACAGAAAUAUUUAAUAUUUAUUUAUUUUUUGAAAUAUAUAUAAAUAAAACAUUAUUUGUAUUUUUACUUUUAAAAAUAAUACAAAACAAAAAUAUAUCUAGAUGAACCUAAGGAUAUCACCACAGUCUAAAUAUAUUCUAGUUUUGUGCGUAACCCCCCACAAAACAUUCCAAGAUGAUAUUAUUUUAUUAGAAAAGUAUCUUGAAGUCAUUACUAACUUUUGCUAUUCACGUAUGUCCAUAUCCAACUCAAGAUUUGUAUUAAAGAACAAGUCUCUCAAAUACUUUGUUGUAGUUGAUUAAUUAUUGGAUGCACCAUAAGAUUAAUAAGACACUUUGAGAUGAUGUAUAUUCUGGUGUGAUUUUAGAGGAGUGUUGUCUUUUAUAUUAGUUCCCUUCCAUAAGCAAACUCUAAGUCUUCCUUGAUAAAAAACCUUACAACAUUAAGGUGAUUUAUUUUUUAGAGGAGUGUGUAGGGACCCCUCCCUCUGAUAGCACGUGGCACACAUCUCCUGAUGACGCGUGACACACAUUCUCAUCCGGAUCAACCUCAUCCGGAUUUUCCUAAGAGUACACGUGGCGCGCUUCUCCUAUCCGGACUACUUUGAGGAGAGGCACACGACACUCACAAACAUAACAUCCAGACAACUUCCACAACGCAUCCGGACGACCGACAUAUGCUAUCCGGAUACGUUUGUCUGGAUCAUUGACUGAAGUAAGCAAGUCUUACACGUUAUCACAACAACCUGCCAUGGCCCACGUUCCGCCACCUACAGAGUGAAAGGACAAGAAUGAAGUGACGGCAAGUCACUUCCCACGAUCACUUCCCAUGAUCACCUACCAUGAUCUCUGUCAGCCACCCGUAGGGUGAUGAUGACCCUGCCACCACCUAGUGUCAUCAUGACAACACAAAAUAUUUCCCUACCAUUAAAGAGGGAAACAAAGCCUCUGAUACUAUAUAUAUGAACCUUCAUACAAAGAGGAAGGUAAGCUCGCUAUACCUAGUAAAAGGUCAACUGAUUUAUCUUUCUCUCUAACCAUGGCUGACAAAACCAUCGGAAGGUACGUCCGGACACCCUGUCUGGACGCCUUUUGCAGGUAGUACAACUGAAUCAAGAAUCUAUAUUAGUUGAGAUCGUGCAUCUAUCCAUUUGGCAACUACGUGGAUCACCAAGGACACGAGGCCUCAACAUUGGCGCCGUCUGUGGAAAAUUUUUCGCUGAUUCAGUCACUAGCAAAGAUGGCCACACCUUCUCAAAGCCGUUCAUCUGGUAAAAGAGAGGAAGAUAACUCUGAAUGGCGCCGAGCCAUCGAAAGAAGACAGUUGGCAAGCGAACGACAACUGAAAGCUCUCCUCCAGGAGACAGAAAGAUUAAGAGAAGAAAACGCGGUAUUACGCAUCCAGGCUUCAACAUCAGGGCCUCCUCAUCGCUAGCAUUCAAGAGGCCAAGUAGCAAACUCAAGGCCAAAACCAGAGUCAAUAUAUCCUGGGACAGUUGGAGCUCUCCUAGAAACAGGCAACGUGAGGCCACAUGAGCCACACACGCCCAUACCUCGAGCUCCUCAUGAGGAAAGCUCGGACUCUACUCAUUUUUCAGCAAAAAGGCAACGCGAUAGAAAAUCCCAGUUGUCAAAUUCAAUGCGCGCGAGACUAGGCCCACAAGAGCCUGGAAAACCAAGGCCACCAGUAGCCACAACCUGGGCAGCACGCCCUGACCCUAUGGUCACCCCCAUGGUGCAGAACGUGCUCCUGCACCGUGACCCUAUGGUCACCCCCAUGGUGCGGAACGUUCACUCGCACCUAGCGGUACGACAAGAUGGGAGAAACCUCCCAAACGAGCCACCCAUUGGCUCCAUCAGCAAAAGGCUGGACGACAUGCUCUCCACGCCUUUCUACUCUCAUAUCAUCCAUUACGAGCCCCCAAGGGGAUUCCUCGUACCAAAAUUUUCCACAUACGAUGGGUCCAAUGACCCCUUUGAUCAUAUCAUGCAUUAUCGACAGCUCAUGACGCUCGAUAUUGGCAACGACGCGCUACGAUGCAAAGUAUUCCCCGCCAGCCUACAAGGGCAGGCCCUCUCAUGGUUUCAUCACCUACCUCCCAACUCUGUUGACAAUUUCAGGGACCUGUCCGAAGCCUUUGUGGGGCAAUACUUGUGCUCCGCUCGACACAAGCAGAAUAUCAGCACUCUGCAAAACAUAAAAAUGCGAGAUAAUGAAUCCUUAAGGGAGUUCGUAAAGCGGUUUGGUCAAGCCGUACUUCAGGUAGAGGCUUGCAGGAUGGAUGCUGUCCUGCAGAUCUUCAAACGAAGCAUCUAUCCAGGCACCCCAUUUUUCGAAUCGCUAGCUAAAAAGCCUCCUACAACGAUGGACGACUUGUUCAGACGUGCAAACAAAUACUCAAUGCUCGAAGAUGAUGUACGAGCAGCCACCCAGCAAGUCUUAGUUGCUGGACAAGCAUCUAGAAGUGGCAUGGAAAGAAGUGCCAAACUUCUGGACCGGCCAAGGCCGUCCGACCGAAGACAGGAGGGGCCAAGUCACCCGGAAAGGCAACCCCUCACGCUUCUUUCCAUAUCAUAUGAAAAACUUCUCCCUAUGAUCCAAGGCUUGUCCGACUUCAGGUGGCCUAGACCCCAAGGAACGGACCCAUCCAAAAGAGAUCAUAGCAAGAGGUGUGUCUUCCACAAGGAACAUGGUCACACAACAGAGACAUGCAGGUGCCUCCAGUAUCUGGUCGAGAGGCUCAUCAAGGUAGGACAUUUAAAGCAAUACCUCCGCUCAGAUACUGGAGGAAGAGACGCUUCCCAAAAUCACAACUCUAGAGCCCCUAGGGCCCCAGCCGCCACCAAGGCCGUUAUAAACUAUAUUAACGGAGGCCCAUCUAACGAGGAGUAUGACUCCAAAUGAAAGAGGCAAAAGUUGUUGCGGGCUGCAUCAGUACGCGAACGUAUCAACUCCAUCCGGCCUGGAUUAACUGGAGGGGGCUCUUGCCCCAUAGAUGGGACAAUCAUUUUCCCACCGGUAGACCCCACCCGGACACUGCAGCCACACCGCGACGCCCUCAUCCUAUCCCUAGAGAUAGGAGACUUCGACGUGAGACGCAUUUUGGUUGACCCAGGCAGCUCGACCAAUCUUGUGCAAGCAUCGAUCGUUACCCACAUGGGGCACAGUCUCACGAGCCUUGAAAACCCUGGGCGAAUCCUAUCCGGAUUCAACGGGUCAUCAACUACGUCCUUGGAAGACAUUGUACUGCCGGUCCAAGCUGGCCCAGUCACUCUCAACGUACAAUUUUCGGUGGUACAAGAUUUAUCACCCUUCAAUAUCAUCUUAGGGCGCAUAUGGCUACACUACAUGAAAGUCAUCCCCUCUACAUAUCACCAAAUGGUAAGUUUCCUUACCAAGGAUGGGCAAAUUGAUCUAUAUGGCAGUCAGUUAGCCGCUCGCCAAUGCUACCAAAUAGCACGAGAAAUAGGGACCAGCCAGGAGGAUGCAUCCCUCCCUGAGUCCGGCAAUGCACAUAAUCAAUAGCUAUUAUUGGGUCCGGUGGACAAAGAUCCCCCGACAGCAGAUCCCUUGCAAACAAUCCAAAUUUCGGAAGAAGGAACUCACCUUACGAAUAUCAGUUCCCUUCUGACACCGGAAGAGACCCAGAACAUGCAAAACUCCCUCAGACAAAACCAUGACAUCUUCGCAUAGGCACAUUCUGAUAUGAAGGGAAUUCAUCCCUCCAUUACUUCUCAUAAGCUUAACGUCUUGCCAACAACCAGACCCAUCCGGCAGAAGGUUAGGCGUUUUCACCCGGACAGACAGAAAAUUAUCCGGAGUGAGAUUGACAAAUUGCUAGAAGUCGGAUUCAUUAGAGAAGUCGAUUACUCGGACUGGUUGGCAAAUGUAGUAGUGGUACCCAAAAAAGAAGGCAAAUGGCGUGUGUGCGUCGACUACACCAACCUCAAUAAUGCAUGCCCAAAAGACAGUUUUCCUUUGCCACGAAUAGAUCAGAUUGUGGAUUCCACUACUGGGCAAGGGAUGCUCUCUUUCCUGCACGCUUUCUCCGGAUAUCACCAAAUUCCUAUGUCCCCGGCUAACGAAGAAAAAACAGCAUUCAUAACGCCACACGGUCUCUAUUGCUACAAGGUCAUGCCAUUCGGACUCAAAAAUGCAGGCGCCACUUAUUAGAGACUGAUGACAAAGAUCUUCAAACCUCUGAUAGGCCACACGGUAGAGAUAUAUAUUGAUGAUAUCGUGGUUAAAAGCAAAACCCAAGAGGAGCAUGUCCUCCACUUGCAAGAAGUUUUUCACCUUUUGAGGAAGUAUGACAUGAAGCUAAAUCCUUUUAAAUGCGCCUUUGGCGUAAGUGCUGGCAAAUUUCUGGGAUUUAUGGUCAGCCAAAGAGGGAUAGAGGUUAGCCCGGAUCAAGUCAAGGCAGUCAUGGAAACACCUCCCCCCAAGAGCAAGAAAGAGUUACAACGCCUCACAGGCAAACUCGUCGCACUAGGGCGUUUUAUAGCCCGCUUCAUUGAUGAAUUGCGACCCUUCUUCUUGGCAAUACGAAAAGCUGGAGCAAACGGAUGGACAGACAGCUGUCAGAACGCUUUUGAAAAUAUCAAACACUGCCUUAUGCAGCCGCCCAUCCUAAGCAGUCCCAUCCCUAAAGAGAAAUUGUACAUGUAUCUGGCUGUAUCAGAGUGGGCAAUUAGUGCUGUUCUAUUCCGCUGCCCCUCACCCAAGGAGUAGAAACCUAUUUACUACGUCAGUAGAGCGUUGGCGGACGUAGAAACCAGGUAUUCAAAAAUGGAGCUAACAGCCUUAGCCCUUCGGAGCGCCGCCCAGAAGCUCCGCCCCUAUUACUCGGUGGUCGUGUUAACUGACCAACCCCUCUGUAACAUUCUCCACAAGCCAGACUUAACCGGAAGAAUGCUUCAAUGGGCCAUCGAAUUGAGCGAAUUUGGAAUCGAGUUCCAACCCAGAUUGUCCAUGAAAGGCCAAGUAAUGGCUGACUUCGUACUGGAAUACUCUCAAAGGCCCAGCCAACGCCAGGAACCAAAUGAAGAAAAAUGGUGGACUUUGCGGGUCGAUGGAGCCUCACGAUCAUUAGGGUCCGGAGUUGGGCUUCUGCUACAGCCCCCAAUAGGGGAACAUCUGGAGCAAGCCAUCCGGUCGGGAUUCCCCGCCUCCAACAAUGAAGCAGAAUACGAAGCCAUCCUAUCCGGAUUGGACCUCGCCCUGGCUCUAUCCGUCUCCAAGCUCCGUGUUUAUAGCGAUUCUCAACUUGUGGUCAGGCACGUCCAGAAGGAAUAUGAAGCUAAAUAUGAGCGCAUGGCGCGAUACCUGGCUAAAGUAAGGGACACCUUGCAACAAUUCACCGAGUGGACAAUCGAAAAAAUCAGACGAAUUGAAAAUGGACGUGCCGACGCCCUAGCAGGCAUAGCUGUCUCCCUCCCCAUCAAAGAACCCAUAUUGUUGCCUAUACAUGUGCAAGCCAACUCUUCCGUCGCGGAAACCUCCAUUUGCAAUACCAUUGAGGCAAGCCAAGCAGAUAGCCAAGAAUGGACGAACGACAUUAUAGGGUACCUCCGGACAGGCGCUCUGCCCGGAGAUCCCAAACAGGCACACAAAAUCCGAGUGCGAGCUGCCCGUUUCACCUUGAUUGGGGGGCACUUGUACAAGCGAUCCUUCACAGGUCCCUAUCUCCGGUGCCUAAACCAUUCAGAAGCCCUAUAUGUGUUAGCAGAAUUGCACGAGGGAGUAUGUGGAAAUCAUUCUGGAGGACGAUCUCUAGCGCACAGGGCCCAUUCUCAAGGAUAUUAUUGGCCCACGAUGAAGAAUGAUGCGGCAGCCUACGUCAAAAAAUGCGACAAAUGUCAACGACAUGCCCCCAUACCACACAUGCCGUCGGAGACGUUGAAACCAAUUUCAGGUCCCUGGCCCUUCGUGCAGUGGGGUAUGGAUAUAAUAGGACCCUUACCAACCGCACCUGCUCAGAAGAAAUUCCUACUUGUUGCCACAGAUUACUUCAGUAAAUGGGUAGAAGCCGAAGCAUACGCUAGCAUCAAAGACAAGGAUGUCACCAAGUUCGUAUGGAAAAACAUCAUCUGCCGCUUUAGAAUCCCUCAAACCAUCAUAGCCGACAACGGUCCAUAGUUUGACAGCAUCGCAUUCCGGAAUUUAUGUUCAGAACUAAGCAUCCGGAAUACAUACUCCACACCGCGUUAUCCUCAAAGUAAUGGACAAGCAGAAGCCACAAACAAGACUCUAAUCACUGCCUUAAAGAAAAGGCUUGAGCAAGCCAAAGGAAAAUGGGUGGAGGAGUUACCCGGCGUCCUGUGGGCUUAUCGAACCACACCCGGACGGUCGAGAGGAAACACUCCCUUCGCCCUCGCAUAUGGUAUGGACGUAGUCAUUCCUACCGAAAUAGGGCUACCCACUAUCCGGACUAAGGCAGCAAAGCAGGAUGAUGCAGAUGCAGAGUUAGGAAGAAACUUGGACUGGGCAGAUGAAGUAAGGGAAAGCGUAUCCAUUCGGAUGACAGACUAUCAACAAAGGGCAUCCGCUCAUUACAAUCGCAAAGUAAGGCCCAGAAGCUUCAAAAAUGGUAUGUUGGUCCUUAGAAAAGUUUUUGAAAAUACUACUGAAACAGGAGCAGGAAAAUUUCAAGCCAACUGGGAAGGCCCCUACAUAGUAUCCAAAGCAAGUGAGAGUGGAGCUUAUCAUCUACAAAAGCUAGACGGAACUCCAUUACUCAGACCAUGGAAUGUGUCUAAUUUAAAGCAGUAUUAUCAAUAAAAGAAAGAGACAAGCACAAAUAUGAAGAAAUAUGUUUCAUUAAUAUUUGUGAAAAUUGUAUACAAAAAGUUCUCCGGACUACAAAAAUACAGAGAGAAGAUUGCAGUAAAAAUUACAAAAAGAAAAGCUCUCAUGGAGUAGGCUUGUCGAGUAGCUUCUUCUCUUCACCCGGAGGAAUUAAAGGGAUGUCCCGCUUGAUGCCAUGUUUCUUCAUACAGCAGCGAUAGCCGAAGAAGAACAUUUCAUCUACUUGCUUCUGGUAGUCCGCUUCAAGCUUCUCCCUCUCUACAGCAAACUCACCCUCCAACUCUUCUUUUUGCGCUGAUAAACGUAGCUGCAAGUCUUCUCUUUGCUUUUUCUCAAUAGAUACCUCCGUCCGGAGUUGCCUCACCUCCCCCCUCAGGUGGGCCAUCUCAUCCUCCGCCUCAUGCAGGCGGGCAUCCAUCGAUUCCUCCCGGCUCUUUGCCUUAGCUAAAUCUGCCCGGAGAGCCUCGUUGUCUCCUCGAAUGGCAGAUAAACUGGCUUCAGCCUCCUCCAGUCUCAAGCGCAACGUAUCUUCACUAUUUCUGCGCUGAGAGGUGAAGACCUUCAUGUAAUCAGCGGUCCGCAGCAAGUCAGUAAACAAGUCAUGUUGUUGGGCCAUGCCGCGAAGACCGCUCACCAGCUGCAGGUGAACACACAAAACAAGAGCAAAGUUACAAACCAUACCACAAGCACAUCAGUAUGACAAAGAAAAUGAAGAAGUAAACUAUACCGUUUCCACCACUUCGAACAUUUUUGCUGAAGGCAUGGCAAUAUCCGAGCCGGGUGGAAUCCGUUUCAGCUUCUCUUCUAACUCCGCGUAGCUGAAAGCGCUAGCAGAGAUGCAAGAUGCAUUAUCAACAGGAUUUCCCCUUGAUGAAGCAUUGGAGAAUGACCCCUCCUCCGGGUCUGGGGCCCUAUCAGUCUCGGCUGGCUGGGUCACUCCGGGUGAAACCCCAUCCGGGACCACCACCGGGGCGGGUGGGUUCUCUGCUGCCAUCUCCGCCUCGCUCUCCUCCGGAUGAUCAUCCUAGACGGACGAGCAACUGACUUCGAUGGUUUCCAAGAACCGAUCUUGAAGCCGCCCGAUGAGGCAGGACUUUAAGUUACGCGCCGAAUGCGACUUCCUUGAAACUGGCCCCUUCACCAGUACAAGGGCAAGAGGGCUUGACCUGCAAGGAGGCAAACCUUGGCUUUCUGCCCCCACUUCUUCCCUUGGGGGUGCCGAAAGAGGCGAUGCGGCCGCACAAUAAGCCCCGGCUGCAUCUGCAUCCGGAUGGGGAGAACCGGGCUGAUUUAUUGAAGUCGCCUCCUCAGCCAGCAGAGCCAGGCAUUCAGCCGCCAACAGUAAAGACCCCGAGUGGUUCAAACCCGCGAGAUGUCCGGGACCACUUGAAAUAGAGGGCAAGGGGGGAACCUCCGGCUCUCUUAUUAUUACCUCAUUCACAUAAGUUGAAGAAGGAAUUACAAACUCCUUUGGAGGAGUGGGGAGUUUCACUUCCUUCACCUUAUUUGAAACCUUCUUCUUCUUCUUUGCUGGAGCACCAGCAGGUGGAGAAGACGCGGGCCGUUUGCCACCCGGAGCCUUCCGCAAGAGCCCUUCUUUCAUUUUUACCUCCCGAUUAGUGAGGCGGGCUUUGCGUGUCCGGGCGUCUGCCUUCUGCACCGCCGCGUAGAAGGGCAGAUCUUGAAGAACGAAGUGCUCCCCAGCCACAACCUCUUCAAGCAUCCGCCUUGGGAGUAUGUUCAGCACGUACGACUGAGGCUCCCGGGUGACCGAACGGAGGUUCUACGCGGAAAGCAGCAUGUCACAACUCCGCUCGGCCGCCGCAAUCUCAAAGAGCCUGUUCAAACGAUCGAACGAGGCCUUCUCCACCCACUCCACCAAUCUCCCCCUUUUAUCCUGGCAUGCACCCAAGAAAGCAAAAGUAUGUCAGCAACCCAACAAUGCUGACCUACAUUCACAAAACAUGGAAAGACAAGAAAUAAUUUAAUCAUACCGGGGACCUUCAACGAUUGGUUGGGAGUGAAUGGCCUGUCCGGAUGCUCCGCCAAACCCGCCCAUACGCCCUUGACCAACACAUGUCCCUUCGCGGCCCCCUUGGUCGAGUCCGGCAGAUUGAUCACCAACUACAUGGACGGAAGGCAAGCAACAAAGCUGAAGAUGUCAGUCUUCAGCUUCUUGAUCGAAUAAAUAAAAAGAACCUCCAGCAUUGAGAGGUCCAAGUUGAACAGCAUGUUCAGGAUGCUGCACCCCAUCAGCACCCGGACCAUGUUAGGAUGAAUAUACGCCGGAGGAAUCUGGGUGAAGUGCAGAAACUCCUUGAACAAAGACGGCAGGGGAAACCGGAACCCAGCGUUGAACUGCUCCUUGCUAAAGAAAAUAGCAUGGUCUUCAUUGUUCUCAGUCGAUACAGCCUCCCCGUCAGUAAGUUCAACAAAUACACCGUUGGGAAUGCAGAACCGUUCGCGGAACUCCUUCGCACUCAAUUUAUCCACAGACUUUUUGGCAUGAGCAUCGCCGCAUGGGCCAGAUGAGGUCGCUUCCUGGUUCGUAGACAUUUUUUCCAGCUUCAUAAAUCUGCAUGGAAGAAGUACCAACAGUCAAAACACAACAAACUGGUCCCACAACCCUAAACGACAAAAACUCUCAGACAAACCCCACAUCGCCAGUAUCCCCAUCCCAAAACCUUGACUCUACCCCAAAGAAAAACCUCCAACCCACAAAAGACGCAGGGGGGCAACAGAAACACUAAGCACACCCAAAAACACAGUCCAUACCCCCCCUCCCUCCACCCACCGGAAAACCCUAGAAACCAAAAAACACCAAUAUCCACACACACAGUCGCAAGCAACUUGCCCAAGCAAACCAGCAACAACCGACAACGACAAAAGCAAACCAAAGGAAAAGACAAGACAAACGAACGUACCAAGUAAAAACAGGGAAAAUAGGGUUGAACAUCGCAAAUGCAGUCAUCGGUACAACGCGAAAAUCAUCGGUAGAAAAUUCUAGGGCUUCACUCAGAAAACGAAGGUACGCAGAAGGUAGAAGAAGAAACACUCUCAGAAAGAAACGCAGUAGGAAAGAUGCAAUAGAAGGCACAGUAUGCUAUUUAUAGGGCGACAACCCCUCAGUAUAUCAAACGCUCAGCUACGCCAUCAUUGAAACGACAUGCUGCCUGGGAAUACACAGAGACGACGGCUCAUCAUAAAUGCUCUUCUCUCUCUUUGCCCCCGCUCGCCACGUGGCCCAAUGAGCGCAAAAAAUAACAUCAGUUUCAAAAAACCAAUUAUUUUUAACCCGCCCAUUUUUUGCUCAGGCAAAAUAGGCAAGUUAAAAAGGGGGCAUUAUAGGGACCCCUCCCUCUGAUAGCACGUGGCACACAUCUCCUGAUGACGCGUGGCACACAUUCUCAUCCGGAUCAACUUCAUCCGGAUUUUCCUAAGAGUACACGUGGCGCGCUUCUCCUAUGUGAACUACUUCGAGGAGAGGCACACGACACUCACAAACAUAACAUCCAGACAACUUCCACAACGCAUCCGAACGACCGACAUAUGCUAUCCGGAUACGUUUGUCCGGAUCAUUGACUGAAGUAAGCAAGUCUUAGACGUUAUCACAACAACCUGCCAUAGCCCACGUUCCGCCACCUACAGAGUGAAAGGACAAGAAUGAAGUGACGGCAAGUCAUUUCCCACGAUCACUUCCCACGAUCACCUACCACGAUCUCUGUUAGCCGCCUGUAGGGUGAUGAUGAUCCCGCCACCACCUAGUGUCAUCAUGACAACACAAAAUAUCUCCCUACCAUUAAAGAGGGAAACAAAGCCUCUGAUACUAUAUAUAUGAACCUUCAUACAAAGAGGAAGGUAAGCUCGCUAUACCUAGUAAAAGGUCAACUGAUUUAUCUCUCUCUCUAACCAUGGCUAACAAAACCAUCGGAGGGUGCGUCCGGACACCCUGUCCGGACGUCUUUUGCAGGUAGUACAACUGAAUCAAGAAUCUAUAUUGGUUGAGAUCGUGCGUCUAUCCAUUUGGCAACUACGUGGAUCACCAAGGACACGAGGCCUCAACAGAGUGUUUUGGUAAAAGUGCAUGGCUCUUUCAAAGUUAUAUCCAUAUUUUCAAAGUUCCCUGUCUAAAUAGGAUUUUCUUUUUCUUUCUAUCAUGGAUAGGAAUAGCUUGUAAAGAUUUAGGAAAAUAAUUUUUUUUUUAAUAAAUUUUAAUAUAUGUUAGAUUUAAAAUAAAAAGUUAUACUCACAAGUCAUCCAUUAUUUUAUGCCUUUUGUCAAAUUUAACAAUAUUGAUGCCUUAAAUGUGAAAGUUGAAAAUUUAUCCAAAAAAAUGUUUUUUUUUUGUUAUACUGUCAAAUACCUUUUUUCCUUGUAUUAAAAAAGAGAAAAUAAACUUAGGAUUACAAAUUAUAUUUUCCAAAAAUUUUAGAAAAUAUGUAUUUCUAAUUGGGCUGUGUUGUAGUAUGUGGCUCAUAUUGAGGGAAAGACAUAUAUGGAGAAAAUGGGCAAAUAUCGGAGUGAAACAACAACAUUUGUCAUUCAAGCUUGUAUUUUUAUUGUUAAGGGCAAACGAUAGGUUGAGGGGUUUUAAUUUCAUUACAUGAAGGUUAGUAUAAAUAUCCUUUUAUGUAACUCUAAUUUGAUAUAUAGUAAAAAUCUUCUUCCUUAUUCCCAUGGACGUAGGGCAAUCCAUCGAACCACGUUAAAUCUAUGUGUUUAUUUUGUUUUUCUCUAAUUUCUUCACCAGGAAUCGUUGCAUGAAGACCAACAUGUUGUUAUGUACAAUAGUGAUGAAGGCGAACACACCUAAAGAAUCCGCUGGACCAAAUACAUCCCACUUGCCCUUUUUUUUUUUUUCCAAUGCUUUAAAUAUCAAUUUGUUGGGCAAUUAAAAAUUUCUUUCAAGUAAUUUUAAAACUUACAAGUCAUCCAUAUUUAUUGUUUUUUAUAACCAAAUCAAGAAACUUGGUAUCUUUCAUGCAAAGAUUACAAAGUGGUCAAAACCCAUUAAAAUUAAAAAAAAAAAAUCAUUAAUUUUUUAAUUUUUAAUAUUAUAUAAUUAUCAAUACAUAUUUUUAUUUUAAAAACAAAAAUAAAAUUAGAUUUAACUAAGAAAGAUAUUAAUAUUUAUAAAAUUAAAAAAUGUAAUUAAAAAUUUAUUUACAUACUUUUAAAAAUAGUAAAAAUAGAAUUAUGAAUACAUCUCUUCUCAUUUUUGGUAAAAAUAACUAGUAUUAAGGAAAUUAUGAAUACAUGUUUCUUCCUCUUUUCCUCUUUUAUUGUUUUCUUCCUCUUUUCUAUUUGAUUUGCCUAUUGGUGAAUGUCACUAAUUAUAAUUCAUUUCUUAAGUUGUAAUUGGUUCAUUUCUUAAAAUUUUCCGCCAAAUUGAUGGAAAACGUCAGGCCAAAAGUAUAUAUACUUUAUCACCAUUCUUUAUAAAAGAAAAAGAAAUUCUUAACCAAAAAAAAAAAAAAAACCAUGGUUUAAUAUUAAUAGUCUAACAAAAAUAUUAGGAGCUAAAUUAGGACAUAAAUAAAAAUAUAAAUCAAAUUGGAAAACAAAAAUUAGCGCCCUUAGGUCAUUUUUUUUUUGUACUUAAUUUAAAAAAAAUAAUAAUUAAAGAACUUUUUUUUUAAAAUUUUUUUUUAUAAUCUUAGAGUGUUUGGUAAGUUAUUUUUUAAAAAUAGUUUUAAAAAUAAAAAAUAAAACUUGUUUAGAUAAGUUGCUUUCAAAAAUAAUUUCUUUAUUUUGAUUUUGUAAAAACACUAUAAAUUUAAUUUAUAUAAUAUCAUAGUGUCAUGCACGACAUGGAGACUCUUGGAUCUUGGUCCACUAGGCGUACAACUGAAUCAUUGCAUUUGAAAAAAUGAAAUGAAUAUAAAACGUCCACUAGGCGUACAACUGAAUCAUUGCAUUUGAAAAAAUGAAAUGAAUAUAAAACGUCCACUAGAGGAAAGUGACUUGGGACCACAGCAUUGUGGAGGCAUUCGCACCCUGUUCCCUUUGCUGUAGUAAUAUAAGACGCAGAGGCGGUGGAUUAUGGUGUUGUGAAAGAUUUGAGAGAGGUGGAGACGGCUGUAGAGCUUAAGCACACCCAUGGAUCCAUCCACAUCCACUUCCACUUCCAACCAUGCUUUAGAAUUACAGAACCUUAACUCAGUUUCUAGUGCGAACCAGGAGGAUGUCACAUACAUGCCUCCUAAAAUUUACAGGGCUGCAGCACAAGGCUCCACCGAUAUUAUCCGCAGGAGAAUGCCCAGAGCUGUCCAUUAUUUAACACCCAAUAAGAACACUAUCCUCCACAUUGCAGCCCAAUUCGGUCAACCGAAGUGCGUUGAAUGGAUCAUUCGACAUUACAGUGGGGAUUCAUCCCCACUGCAGUGGCCCAAUCUGAAAGGGGACUCCCCCCUCCACCUUGCGGCGAGAGAAGGGCAUCUAGAGGUCGUGAAGACUAUUAUUCAUGCUGCGAAAACAGUUUCCGAAAGAGAUAUUGAGAGUGGGAUUGGAGUGGAUAAGGCCAUGCUGAGGAUGGCCAACAAUGAGCAUGACACAGCCUUGCAUGAGGCAGUCCAGUAUCAUCAUCCGGAGGUGGUGAAGUGGUUGAUCGAGGAAGAUCCCGAGUUUACAUAUGGUGCUAACUUUUCUGGUGGGACUCCUCUAUACAUGGCUGCUGAGAGAGGGUUUAGAGACUUGGUGAAAAUAAUCAUAGAGAACACUAAUCGCGAUCGACUGGCUCACACUGGCCCCAUGGGUAGAACAGCUUUGCACGCAGCUGUGAUUUGCCGUGACCCAAGUAGGCAUAUUCUUUUCCUGAAUCUACCAUAUUUCCUAUGUGGUUUAUUCAUUAAUAUUACAGGUAUAACAUAUAUAGUGUUGAAUAACAAGUUUUAACCUAGCUAAACUAUGGGGUUACAAUUUCUUCAUAACUUCUAAUCUUUCUCAAAAAAUAUUUUGAUAAAUUUGUUUGAGUAUAUAUAUAUAUAUAUAUAUAUAUAUAUAUAUAUAUAUAUAUAUAUAUAUGCUUGGUGGUUGAUUGUUUCAGCUGUUUAAAUGUUAUAUUCCAAAUAGUUGAGUUACUUUUUAACCUGACAUGCAUGAUUAAAUAUGAGAAGACUAAAGAAAACUUGUUUCUUAAUUUCUUAUACUCUUCUAAUUUUUUUCUUUCUUUUCAUUUUAUGUAUGUGUUGAUCAGUAAUGGUAAAAGAAAUUCUGAGAUGGAAGUCAGAUCUAAGAAAAGAAGUGGAUGAAAAUGGGUGGUCUCCACUUCACUGCGCUGCAUACUUGGGUUAUGUUCCAAUAGCGAGGCAAUUGCUUCAUAAAUCUGAUAAUUCUGUAGUCUACCUAAGGGUCAAAAACUAUGACAACAAGACAGCUCUUCAUAUUGCAGCCACCCGUGGAAACAAGCUCAUAGCAAAACUGUUGAUGUCACGCUAUCCAGAUUGUUGUGAGCAAGUGGAUGUUAAUGGAAAUAAUGUUGUUCACUUAUUCAUGAUGCAAAGAAGAUGUUUCAGAAGCUUCAUAAAGAUUCCCUGGAUGAAUGUGAGAGCACUUAUAAAUGAGAAGAAUGUUGAAGGACAAACACCUCUCCAUCUGCUCGCCCAUUCCCAGCUGAGAUGUCGUUCUUUCAUAUUGAAAAAGGAAGUGGAUAAGAUGGCACUUAACAACCAAAACUCAACUGCUUUGGACGUAAUUUUACUGGCCGAGGAUUUAUUUGGAAAAAAGGUAAGCAUGUCUGUCUAACUUUAUUAAUUUCCCAAAUAGCAAGGAAAUGGUGAUCUGCUCCAUUAAUUGAAGCCAAGGUACUGUAUACUCUGUUUUCUCUGAUUAAAUUUCAGGAUUUUAUCAUAUCAACACUGAAAAGGGCCAAAGCUAGAGUCGGGCCUUUGUUUUGGCAGAAGGCUAUGAGGAAAGACAAGGACAAGAAAAACGAGGACAAGAAAGACGAGGACAUGAGCCAAAGCAAACGUAGUAAAGGUUUAGACACCUCUUUCUUAAGGGAAGCAGGUCAGAGCCAUUUGAUUGUGGCCGCACUUGUCGCGACUGUAUCGUUCGCAGCAGGUUUUACACUGCCCGGCGGUUAUAAGGAUGGUGACGGCAUGGCCAUUUUAAGCAACAAUCCAGCUUUUAAAGCAUUUGUUGUGUCUGAUUCCCUGGCUCUGGUGCUCUCUGUGACUGCUGUAUUGUUUUCUUUUUAUACUGCAUUGGCUAAAACAAAGAAGCGAGUCAAUUUAUUUGUAAGGCCGGCGUAUUGGCUCACCAAGUUGGGUGUAGGAGCAAUGGUGGUAGCAUUCUUUACCGGCUUAUACACCGUACUGCCGCAUCACUCAGGGAUUGCAAUUUCUACUUUUAUCAUCUGCAUCUGCUGUUCAGUUUUCAGCAUAAUCUCUGGUUCGGUACCCCAAAGGUGGAUCACAAAAUGUACUAAAUUUAGGUCACGUUGAGAAUCUCACAAUCAUAUAUGUGUUUGAUAUAUACAAAGAAUAUUGGAUGAGGAAAUUAUCAGUAAAUCAGAAUCGUGUGUUAACAUUUAUAUAACUAAUUUUAAUUAUAUUUUAUUUUCUUUGAUAUUUUUAAUAGUACUACAACCAAACAUUAAAAAUAAUAACCUUUUUUAACAUUUUUUUCAUAAUGCUUUUGAAGAAUCAAACAUAACCUUAAUGUUAAAAUUGAAUAGAAUAUAAUUAUUUUGUAUCCGUAAAAACUUGCUACUUUGACAAACUAGAGAUAAUUUUUAUGUUAUCAACAAUUGUGAAGUUGGGUCAAUUUAAAGCUAAAUCAAUUUCCCAAACAUCAACAAAUAAAAACAAAAUUAAAUAGUCAAAUAUCUUAUUUUUCUAGAGUUGGAAGUACAUCUAAACACUGCAAUUGUUUUUCUAGAGGUAAGUAGUUCCUUUCAAUUUAAGUCCAAUUUCAAAGAUAUUUUCUAUAGCUCUACAUUUCACAUUCUAUAUAUUUUGUGAGCAAUUCUCUUCAAGCUUUUGCCCAUGAUUUAAAGAUAUUUUAUGUAGAGCAUAUGUGGAAGGGAAAGUUGUUUGCACGUAUAUAUUUUUCCGUGUCUUUCUUGUGAAGUUUUUCUGUCUUUUUAGACAUCUCCCAUUUUUAUUUACUUGAUGAGAUUUUUAUCCAAUCACACUCCCGCCUCAAUAAUUUGGCUAUAUUAAACCCAUUUAACACCAUUUUAUUAUUUAUUUUUCUAAAUUGUAAUGCUUCAUAUUUCUCUCAUAUUUGAACCAACCAAUCAGCUUCGUUUCACGCUCAUUCCUUGAUUCACCCAUUUGAUAAGUGACUUUCAAUCAUAAAUCAAUAUAGAAUAUUAAUAAUAAGAAAGGUCAGUCGAUACCUACCAUAUCAAAGGGUGGAUGUGUGUUAAAUUCCUUCCAGCGUUAUUAUAAGAAGCUGUCUAGAGAUGAGUCGUUGCUUUCAAAUCAUGUCCAUAUUUCUGAGAUAUUUUAUGUAACUUAAGUCCAUAUUCAAAGAUAUUUUAAGUAAAACAUGGGUGUAGAGGAAAGUUACUUACUCAAAUACCAUAUUCUCUUCUAUGGAUAAGAUAAUGUUUGGUUCUAAUUUCAUAUGUAGUAUAAUUUUAAUUCUUAAUUUUAAGAAAAUAAUAAAAAUAAAAAUAAACAGUAAAUAAAAGAUUCAUUCCCAAAUUUGUUUAAAGUGAUUUUAAAUAUCACAACUCAUUCUCAUUAUAUUUAUAAUGCAAUCAAGUAACUUGCUGUCUCACAUGUAAAGAUUAAAAUGUGGUCAAAACUUAUCAAAAGAAUCAUUAAAUAUUUUUCUAUUUAUUGUUAUAUAAUCAUCAUUAUAUUUUUGUGUAUUUUUAAAAACAAAAAUAAAACUAGUUUUAAGAAAAAUAUUAAGUAUUUUUAAAAGCUAAAAUUCAAUUGAAAAUUUAUUUAUAUAUUCUACUUUUGAAAAUAGUGAAAACCAAAGCAUAUUUAAAUGCAUUUUUUUUCCUCUUUUAUAUCUUUUGUGCACAUAUUGACUUUUCACAAGAAAAUGGACAAAGCAGCUAUGGGAAUAAAAAAAUAGAAAAUGUUUAUGGUAUCAAAACCUAGUUAUGUUUUUUAUAAAAGGAAGAAAAAAAUGAAUGAAUUAUAUAUAUAUAUUAAGGAUCAAUGUGAGGUAAAAUCCCAAGGAUAUUACCAAAAAUAUUUUGGUAAAGAUCACCGGAGUCAAGGAAAUAAUGAGCACAUAUUUAUUAUUAUUAUUAUUAUUAUUAUUAUUAUUAUUAUUAUUAUUAUUAUUUUCAUAUUUUGUUUCUAUUUUCUAUUUGAUUGGCUUAUUUGGUGAUGUUACUAAACAUUUUUUUAUGAGGUAGUUGGUUAGUUUUUCUUUCAUAUUUGGACUCACUAAUUAACUUUAUUUUCAUCCAUUCCUUAAUGAAGAAAAAUGCUUUGAAUAUGUCCUUCUCUAUGGACAUCACCAAAAUUUUCUGGUAAAGAGCACUAGUGCGAAGGAAAUUAUGAAUAUAUAUUCGUUGCCACCGACACACCCCCCACUUCCCUUAUUCCUUUCGGUAUUUUCUUCUUCUUUUUAUUUUAUUGGCCUAUCUAUAGGACGCUACUAAUUAUUGUUUAUUUUUUAAGUCGUAAUUAGUCCUUGUUUCUCUCAUAUUUGAACUAGCUAAUUAACUUGAUUUUCAUUCAUUCCUUAGUGAAGAAAAAUGUGAAUUAGUCCAUUUUUCCUCCCUUUGAUUAAUGGUCCAUUUGGAGGACAUUACAAAUUAUUAUUUAUUUUUUAAGCGGUAAUUGGUCCAUUUUUCUCUCAUAUUUAGACUAACUAAUUAACUUGGUUUCCAUCCAUUACUUAGCAAAGAAAAAUGCUUUGAAUUUGUCCUCCUCCACGAAUAUCUCAAAAAAUAAUUUGGCAAAGAUGACCAAUAUCAAGGAAAUUAUGAAUAUAUAUUUUUUCCUUUUUUAUUUAUUUAUUUUGCAAUUCUCUUCCUUUGUUCUAUUUGACUAACCUAUUUGGUGGACGUUACUAGUUAUUAUUUAUUUUUUAAGUGAUAAUUAGUGUUUUUUUUCUCUCAUUUGGAUUAGUUGAUUAACUAGAUUUCAAUCCACUCCUUAGUGAAUUGGCAUUUGAAACAUAAGUCUAUAUCAAAUGUUAAUAAUCAUAAAGACUGAUCUACCAUAUCAAAUUGGUAGAUUGGCCCUAAAACCCAACUAGCUCAAUCAAGAUAUGUGACAUCCCACAUCGGAUAGGGGAGAAAGUUCUUGGUGCUAUAUAAGUAUGGACUUCUCGUAACCCUAUAGACACUUUUUAAAGUCGUGAGGAUUCCUUUGGAUUCAAAGUAGACAAUAUCUAAACGGUUAGGAGUGGGUCAUUACAAAUGGUAUCAAAGUCGAUCCCCGACCUCGGUGUGGGGUUUGUUUGGCUCCAUAAGGGUGUUUGUCUGUUUGGGUCCACAAUCCUGUGGGACACAACGAGGACAUUGUGUCUGCAUGGGGGGGUGUUUGUGACAUCCCACAUCAGAUAGAGGGGGAAAGCUCCUGGUGUUAUAUAAGUAUGACUCCUCGUAACCCUGUAGACGCGUUUUAAAGUCGUGAGGGUUCCUUUGGGUUCAAAGCGGACAAUAUCUACACAGUUGGGAAUGAGUCCUUAUUUUAUUUUCCCAUGUGUGAUGAUGAUGUGCUCUCAUCCCAGUAUUUCAAGUCGAGCAUGUCAAUCCCUUCAUUCCACCGCUAGGUUUUGAUCCAGGAGUCUUAGUUUGGGAGAUCCAUUCGAGUUUGGGGUUUGAGAGUCACUUGUUAGAUUGUGCUGGUGUAGCCUUCAGCUUACUUGGUUUGUGGCGUCAUUGUUAAAAAAAAAAAAAAAAAAAAAAAAAGAAUAAGCUUGUUCCCUGUUCACUUCAUUGAUGUUUGAGUUAACCUUGUUAGCCUUUAGUAUCACGGCUCAGUCAUCAAAUGUCGUUUUACGUAAAAGGAAUUUUAUUUUUCUUUUGAGAGUGAGUGAGAGCAUUGUAUGAUCUAUUUUUGCAUGGUUCUGGGAGAUACGUUGGGAGUGAGGAUUGGGUUUCCUUAGUGUUGGGUCCCCUGGAUCAUUAUCUACAUCACCAUUCUCAUCCUACUGUGGCCUGCUUCGACCUGUCAUUAUUGGGGUGAGUUGUUCAUGGUUAUCACACAUUGCCAUGUUUUCUAUCCCGGUUAUUUUCACUAUUUUCCUCUGCACUCCUUCAUCAUUUGUCUCAUCCCUUUGUGUUUUUCUUCUGCCCUCGUUAAUCGUCGUUUUACUUCUUGAACGGCGUGCCCUCUAGUGUUUAUAACUUGUCAUUUUGCAUUGUUCAUUUGUAUAUAGAUUGAGUCACUAGGCUCACACGAUUUUCCGGUAACUGACAUUGCGCACUCAAAGGCUUGGUAUUAUCUUUUGGCUAUUUGAGCCUUGUUUCCCCAUUGUUUCAUUCACCUUUUACCCUGACCUUCAUUAUGGUCUAAGUCGUAAGACCACCCUGAGGCCACGAGAUCUCAUGUUCGCUUCGACAUAUUUCAUUUAGACAGGCUCCGUCUACUAGUUGAAGUACGGGAUAUCGGUCAACCUCCAUUUCUUGAGGAUAUCGAGGAAUUGCAUAAUGCUUUCUCCAUUCGAUCUUCUCGCCCCUAGGCCAUGAUCAGAGACAGAUGAUGUAGAGAGUUGGGACUAUCGAGGACACCUUUGCUUAUUGCUUUGACAUGUUCAUACUGGGGCAUACCCCCUUACCCUUGCAUGAUGACAUCAGUUCUUACAUGUACACAUACGAUCCCUCUCACCUAAAGAGGUUUAGCAUCGGUGUUUGGGACGCACUCCACAUUCAGCCUGGAUUCUUCAUAUAGCAGAGUGCUUCCGUGGCUUGCCCGAGAUCAAAUUCAUCCAUAUUCAUUGACAUAACAGGAGUGUACACUAGGGCAUAUCCUAUGCAUUGUCAUGUUCGCGUGUUCAGACGGAUGAUGGUCUUUGGAGAUGCAUUUUCAUAGUUGGUUCACCAGAAAAUACAUAUGACAGGUGUACAUCCAGGGGCAUUCCCCUUAACAGCUCUGUGGACACCAGAUGUUGUGAAAAAUAGUGCAUGAUUUGUUAUGGAUGAUUAUAUGUGAUGCUUUCAGCUCUUUGAUUUUAACCGCAUGUGCAAUUACGGGAUUUUGACAUGGUAUAGAUAUCCUAGACUGGGGAAUAUCCCCCCCUUUUCGACAUGGUAUUGAUAUCCUAGACUGAAGCAUACCCCCUUCUCUUUCCACCUCCCGUUGAUCCCUGAUGUUUGUGUAUCAUCUUGCAAUGGCACUCCCCCUUAUUUCAACGUGAUUUAGGUGUUUGAUUACUUACUUAUUCGAGUCAUUUAUUAGUAUUUCCUAGAAGUCAUACUAGGGCAUACCCUCUCUCUCUUUGAGUUAUUUGCUCCCCUAUCUUUUUGGCAGCUCUCCAGCAUCAUGUCCGGACCCCUUUUCAUUUCGACGGCUCUCCGGCAUCGUGUCCGAAUCCCCUAUAGUUUUGGCGGCUCUCCGGGAUCAUGUUCGGAUCCCCUAUAUUUUCAACAGCUCUUCGACAUCGUGUCUGAAUCCUUUUUUUUUUUGGCGACUCUCCGGCAUCGUGGUCGGAUCCCCUAUAGUUUCAAUGGCUCUCUGGCAUCGUUUCUGGAUCCCCUAUAGUAUCGACGAUUCUCCGGCAUCGUGUGUGGAUCCCCUAUAGUUUUUUAGGCUCUUCAAUAUCGUGUUUGGAUCCCCUAUCUUUUUGGCGGCUCUCCGGCAUCAUGUCCAGAUUCCCUAUCUUUUCGGCGGCUCUCCAGCACCGUGUCUAGAUCCAUUAUAGUUUUAGAGGCUCUCUGGCAUCGUGUUCGGAUCCUCUACAGUUUCAAAGGCUCUUCGACAUCGUGUCUGAAUCCCCUAUCUUUUCAGCGACUCUCCGGCAUCGUGUUUGGAUCCCCUAUCUUUUCGGUGACUCUCCAGCACCAUGUCCAAAUCCUUUUAUCUUUUCGAUUGCUCUUCGACAUCGCGUCCGGAUCCUUUUUUUUUCGGCGGUUCUCCGACAUCGUGUCCAGAUCCCUUAUAGUUUCGACGGCUCUCCAACAUCGUGUUCGGAUCCCCUAUCGUUUUGGUGGAUGUUCGACAUCGUGCCUAAGUUCCUUUUCGUUUCGGCGGCUCUCCGGCAUCGUGUUUGGAUCUCUUUAUCUUUUCAGCGGCUCUUCGACAUCGCGUUUGGAUCCCCUAUAGUUUUCGACGGCUCUCCAGCAUUGUGCCCAAAUCCCCUAUCUUUUCGAUGACUCUCCGACAUCAUGCCCAGAUCCCUUUAUCUUUUCAGUGGCUCUCCAGCAUCAUGUCCGGAUCCCUUUAUCUUUUCAACGACUCUCCGGCAUCGUGUCCGGAUCCUUUUUCUUUUCAACGGCUCUCCGGCAUCGUGUCCAGAUCCCCUAUCUUUUUAACAGCUCUGCAGCAUCGUGCUUGGAUCCCUUUGUCUUUUCAACGGCUCUCCGUCAUCGUGUCAGGAUCCUUUUUCUUUUCGAUGGCUCUCCGACAUUGUGCUCGAAUCCUCUUUCUUUUCAACGGCUCUCUAACAUCGUGUCUGAAUCUCUUUAUCUUUUCGACGGCUCUCUGACAUCGUUCCAGGAUCCCUUUAUCUUUUCAGCGGCUCUCCAGCAUCGUGUCCAGAUCCUUUUAUCUUUUCACUGGCUCUUUAGCAUUGUGUUCGGAUCCUUUUUCUUUUCAGCGACUCUUCAACAUCGUGUCCGGAUCCCUUUUUGUUUCGACGGAUCUCCGGCAUCGUGUCCGAAUCCCUUAUCAUUUUAGUGGCUUUCUGACAUCGUGCUCGGAUCCCUUGUCUUUUUAAUGGUUCUCUGGCAUCACGUCCGGAUCCCUUAGUCCUUAGUCAUUGGGACCUAGCUCUUUUGGACUUCGGUAUUGUUGUGUGAUGACAAAAUUGUUGGCCUUUGAUUUCUUCACUAGAGUUUAUUUCUACUCAUUCAUCACUAGCGCUUCGUGCUCAUGAACCAUUUGUUCAUUCACUCUACUAAAGAAGGGCAUAUUUGUAGACCCUCAACUUUGUCCUUUGUCACUUGCAUGUAUCUUGGGGGUGUCGCCUGCACCCAAUUUAUGUAUAUCACGACCAUGGAGCCCUUGUUGGGCAUAAUCAAUUUUCGAACCUCACAUGAGUUCAUUUAUGGUUCGAUUUAGUGAGUGUUUAGUCCAUUAUGAAAUGCCGUCGUGGCUAAUUCCUUGGUUCAUAUCAUGCUACAGGUCAGGAGUUAGGGUCUCCAUAAAGAUUUCAGUUCAGUUAAAGCUCUUGAAGCUCAUCUAAGUCGGGAGCACUUUGUUCUGGUUAUUAAUUUCAUGUGCGUGCUAAAUAUCAACUAAGAUUGCAUGAGUUCUAUCUUCUAUGUAACCUGGGGUAAUUGACUUAUCUUCGACCCAUAUGCUCCGAUGUACCCAAUUCACCAAUAGAGACCGGAUCUCGGGCCUAGAGGGGUGCUACCUCGCAUCAGGUACCUUCCUAAUAGAUAACCUGAUCCCCGGACCCAGAAAUCUAGUUUCGCGGACCGCUUUUUCCUAAUUGGAGUCAUUAAGGGGUUUUUGUUCUUACUUAAUUUUCCUCAUUUCAAAAAUAAAAAUAAAAAGUAAGUGGCAACUCCAAACAAAAAACCGUUCUUCAUCGGGGACAUAUUUUUCAAAACUCAAAGACCACACUUUUUCUCCACACUCACAUUACUGUUUUAAUUUGCUAGUAGCGCCAGAUUUAUUUUUUUAGUAUCAAUUUCCAAAAAUUUUCAAAAGUUUUGAAAAGUCUGGAUUUAGUUUUUUAGCAUCAAUUUCCAAAAGUUUUGAAAAGUCCAGAUUUAUUUUUUUUAGUGUCAAUAUUCAAAAGUUUCAAAAAUUUCGGAUUUAAUUUUUUAGUGUCAUUUCCAAAAAUUUCUAAAGUUUUGAAAAGUCUAGAUUUAUUUUUUUAGCAUCUAUUUCCAAAAAUUUCCAAAAUUCUCAAAGUCCAAAUUUAGUUUUUUUUUUGCAUCAAUUUUCAAAAAUUUCCAAAGUUGCAAAAGUCCGGAUUCAAUUUUUUAGUGUCAUUUUCAAAAAUUUCCAAAGUUUCCAAAAUUCCGGUUAUUAGAGGUAGAAGCUCAAACGGGAAAGAGGUUAGUUCUCAGCUGAAAACUAAUGGAAUGGGAGUAACUAAAUUUUAGCCACGUAGUCCUGAGUCAUGGCUGCGCUUGGUGGCCAUUGAAUAAAACCUAAAGAUUACAUAUAUAUGGUUUGGUCAUGGCUGAAACUUUUAAUAAAUUUGAAAUUUGAAUAUAUUGUGUGCUUGUGCUUAUUGACUAACCCUUUCUUGCAACGCAUGGCUGGGGACCUUAGGUACACAACUUUGUUCUCGUUAUUAAUUUCCUAUGCGUGCUAAAUAUCAACUAAGAUUGCAUGAGUCCUGUCAUCUAUGUAAUUGGGGGAAAUUGACUGAUCUUUGACCCAUAUGCUUCAAUGUACCCAAUUCACUAGUAGAGACCGGAUCCCGAACCUAGAAGGGUGUUACCUCGCAUGAGGUACCUUCCUAAUAGGUAACCUGAUCCCUGGACCCAAAAAUCUAGUUUCGCAGACCGCUUUUUCUUAACUAAAGUCAUUAAGGGGUUUUUGUUCUUAUUUAAUUUUCCUCAUUUCAAAAAUAAGAAUAAAAAGUAAAUGGCGACUCCAAACAAAACCGUUCCUCAUCGGGGAAGGAUUUUUCAAAACUCGAAAACUUUUUUUUUUCUUUACACAUACGAUUAUUGUUUUAAUUUGCGAGUCGCACCGGUUGGUGGAUCGAGGAAGGGUCCACAACUUUUUUAAAUGGUUUGAUAAAUGAAGAAGUAUAUGUUAAACAACCACCUAAUUUUCAAAGUUUUAAAUUUCCUAACCAUAUUUUUAAACUUAAAAAUGCACUUUAUGGUCUAAACAAGCACUUAGAGCUUGGUAUGAAAUAUUGAAUAAAUUUCUUUUAAAAAAGGGUUUUAAAAUGGAAAAAAUUGGCAUAACUCUUUUCAUAAAAACCAAAGAAAAUGAUAUGCUCUUAGUUCAAAUAUAUGUUGAUGAUAUCAUUUUUUGUGUUACUAAUGUCUCUCUUUGUGAAGAAUUUUCUAAGUGCAUGCAUAGUGAGUUCGAAAUGAGCAUGAUGGGAGAACUCAACUUCUUCCUUGGAUUUCAAUCAAGUAACUAAAGGAAGGAACCUUCAUCAAUCAAGCAAAGUACAUAAGAGAUUUUCUCAAAAGGUUCAACAUGGAAGAAACCAAAACAAUGAAGACUCCAAUGAGCUCAUCCAUCAAGAUAAGGAUGGGAAAAGUAAAUCCAUUGAGUCUACUAUGUAUAGAGGCAUGAUAGGUUCUUUGCUAUAUUUGACCAUUAGUAGACCCGACAUUAUGUAUAGUGUAUACUUGUGUGCUAGAUUUCAAUCUUGUCCUAAAAAAUCUCACUUAAGUGUCGUAAAAAGAAUUCUUAAAUAUUUGAAAGGGACAAUGAACAUAGGCUUAUGGUAUCUUAAGAGUGAUAACUUUGAAUUAAUUGGAUUUUCGGAUGUCGAUUUUCCCGGUUGUAAGGUUGAAAGAAAAAACACUAGUGACACUUGUCACUUCUUAGGACACUCACUUGUUUCAAGGCAUAGUAAGAAGCAAAAUUCGGUAGCUUUGUCAACAGUGGAAGCCGAAUACAUAGCAGCCGGUUUAUGUUGUGCACAAAUCCUUUGGAUGAAACAAACAGUUAGUGAUUUUAAUUUAUCUUUUGAGCAUGUUCCUAUUAAAUGUGAUAAUACUAGUGUCAUAAGUAUAUCAAAAAAUCCCGUGCAACACUCUAAGACUAAGCAUAUAGAAAUUAGACAUCAUUUUCUUAGAGAUCAUGCACAAAAGGGUGACAUAACACUUGAGUUUGUAAGCACAAAAGAUCAACUUGUCGAUAUCUUUACAAAACCUCUAAGUGAAGAACAAUUUGUUAACAUUAGAAGACAACUAGGGGUAAUUUCUUUAUAAUCUAAUAAUUGCUUAAUAAUUUCUUAAUGAAUACACCUUCUGAUUGCAUGAAUUUCAUGUCAUAUGCAUCAUAUAGACAUAUACUUUGAAAAUGGUCAAAUUUUGGACCAAAAAUCAAAAUUCUUUUGGCAUUGAGCAUCAAAAAUUGGGAAUUUCAACUAAAAAGGGCAAGGGGGAGACCACAGAACGAGAAAAUGCACAAAAAUUGAAAAGUCAAAGCGUUGACCUCGUUGACCAAGCGGUUGAUCAGGACCAGGACUGAUCGAUCGGUUGAUCGGGGUUAGGGCUUUUAAGUGACUCUCGCGCUUCAUUUUCUCGCCUGUUUCCUCUAGUUCUUCAAGAGCUCUGCCGAUUCAAUUGUCAAAGAGUGAUUUUUGAGGUCAUAGCAGCAAACUGAAGGCUUUGGAUUGGAUUUUUGGGAAGAUCGAAGGCUAGGGUUUUGGUUUUUGAUUGCAUUCUCUUCCUCUUGCGUGUCACAGUCAGCUUCCUCUCCAUUUCCAGGUGCUUAGGGUUUCAGUUGUGAAUGUUUCUCUCUCUACCAGCCCAUUUUCCAUUGUUUCAUUCUUUCUUAUGGCUCCUAGAUGAGAGUUGGCUGCCUCUAGGGCAUAAGACAAGCACCUAGCUAAGCUGUCUCAACCAUCUUAGCCAAAGGCUCACUGAAAGGCAAGGUUUGACACCGCUUUGUUCAGUUCCAUGGAGGACUACUAGCGGCACAAGCAACACUUUGCUCAAAGAAAAGUAGUUUCGGGAAGAAAUAUUAUUUUUUCCCAACUUCAGUAUUUUGGAUUCAAGGGAAUUUUCACUAGGAUGGGUUGGUUGCCCGUGGUGAAUUUUUCAGGUUCGAUUUUCCCGACUUUGGUGCGAGCGUUUUACUCGAGGAAAACUUAUGGAUUGGGUAGCCCAAUUAUUUCUACUGUUAGAGGAGUCGAGAUCCGUCUGGACCCAGAGAGCAUCUGCUGCAUUUUUUAUAUUGCUCCGAUUGGACUCAGAGUGUACAAGUCCAAGAUUUGGCCUACUGUUCCGAGAUUUGAGCCUAGAGAGGCUAUUCAAAGGAUUUACGAACUUGUAGACACCUAAGGGAUGGAAAAACACUAGACCCACAACUUGACCAUCAUUUGAAGAGUACUACACCACAUGAUAUGCUCUAUCCUUCUACCAUGGGGCGAACACCAAGACGAGGUCUCUUAUUAUGAGGCAUUCUUCAUUGACUCGUUUCUUACUAGAAGACGGAUCCACUUGGUGUACUUAAUGAUGAUGCACAUGAUCUCAUGUUACGACAGCACGACCCUCGUACUCCCCUAUGGUCGCUUUCUCACCAGAGUGUUGAAGGAUAUUGGCAUUGACUUGAGCAGAGAGAUAGACUUUGAGGCCCCUUGUGCUUAUGACACGUAUGAUGAUCGAUCGAUGGGGCCAGUGAAAUUUGAGAAGGCUCUUGAUGGUUCUUGGGUAAGGAAAAUAGAGAUAGCACUUGCAAAGGCUUAGAGAUAGGGGCAAGUGCAUCUCGAAGUUGGGGAAGAGGCCAAGAUACGAGAGAUGGAGAGUGAAAUAAACCCUCGGAGUAGCUUUCAGUAGAGAGAGCCCGAGCUUGACAUUCAUCCACUCCAGUCAGAGGGUGUUCAAUUUGAGGCUACCUUUUAUGAGCCGAUGAUGUCUAAGCCGACUUAUAUAGUGGGUCCAUCUACUUAACCGACAUUCACUAAGCCUCAUCACAUUGAGAUACCACCUCAUCAGGCACUUCUCGCUCCUAACCAUGCUCCUUGGAUAGAUCUAUCUACUCAAAUUAGCUCUCUAGGCACUCGCAUGGAGGAGCUUGUUGUAGUCAGUGAUACUUGGUUCUACUCCAUGAAGGAUCGCAUGGAUCAGUAUCAGUCUGGCUUCACUUCUCGAUUUGAGUGUAUUGAGGAUCGUAUAGAUCAUUAUCAGGCUGUCUUCACCUCACAAUUUGAGCAUCUCUAGUAGAGGAUUAAGCACAUUGAGGAUCGUCUGGAGAGUCAACAUGAGGAGAUGAUGGCUUACAUGCGCUCUGUGUUUGCAUUUCCACCUCCUUAGCCUUGAUUUCGUAGAGACCCCAUUUAUUCUAUUUUUUAUGUUGCCAAAAAGGGGAGAUAUUUUAGGAUCUAGGAGACUUACAUCCAUAUCAUCACCAUUGCACUUACAUUAUCAUAUCAUCACUUGGAUUGUAAAUGUUGGAUUGUGAUACAUUUGACUUAUAUAUGAUAUGCUUAUAUGUUUCAUGACUUAAACUGUUUCUCUCUAGCAUGUCUUGAUUAUCUUGGUUUAACUUCGUAAAUUUUGAUUGUUGACCCAUGAUUGGUUUGAGGGGGAGAUUCUUCUUCUCCUAGAUAACCAAGGUUUGUCAUCAUAAAAAAUGGGGAGAUUGUUAGCCCAAGGGUUCUCCUAAUCAGGUUUUGAUCAUAACAAACCAUGGUUAAGUUACUAAUUGAUUUGAAUUAUAAAGAAUUUCAAGUAUUAAUUUGAAAAUUCAUCAAAUGACUUAAUGGAUGCAAGAUCAAGACUUUUGGAAGACCUUUAAUCAUAGGAAACAAAUUUAAGAUGAAUGCAUGGGUGCACUUAGGUUUUACAUAUCAUUUCAUGCAUAUUUCAAAAACUUGGUUUAUUCUUUAAAGUUACAUUUCCAUCAAAACCCAAGUUUUAUCAAAUGUGCCUUAGGCAAAACAUUUCAAAAUUGACAUAUUAAUUUACCUAAAGACCUUGCCUAAGUGUCUGAAGAGAAAAAAAACAGAGAAAGAUAGGUUUUUGGGCAAAAAAUGGUAAACCGAUCGAGGCACUGGCCAACCGGCUCAAUCGGCCAGGGUACCGAUCAACCAGUUCCCUAUUCCCAGUCGAGGUCCAAUCGAGGAAUGCAAAAAACACUUUCUUUAUUCCAGUAGAAUUUUAUUUCUGGUUUAGGUAUUUGCCUUCCCGGUUGACCUCUGGUCGAGGUUCGAUUGAAGCAACGAUAACCUGCCAAAGCAUUAAAUACUCCAACGGCUAAUGAACCAAUUGACCCCCAACUCGACCAGUUGAGGCUACUUUUUGGUUUUCUUGGCUCUCGAGGUUAGAGCUAUAAAUAAAGAGUUUCACUUCAUUUAUGAGCAAGAGAACACCUGGAUUUAUUUGUCUACCCACUUGUUCUUGCCUUAAAAGCUCUCAUUUCUUUCUUGGUGCAUUAAAUCUUCACUUGCAUAUCGUUUAGUGCCCUUUUGUGAUUCAUCCUAGCCUUGAGUUGUAUUUGAACUAUUGUUGAGCUAGGUUAAGAGAUUCAUAUUUGUAAAUUGAGUGUUAAAGUCUUUAAGUGAGUUGAAACUUGAAGAGAUUGUGUAAGAACUCAUUGGAGUCGGAAUCCAAGUGUAAAGGUGAUUAAAAGUUUGGUUGAAGCUUCAAGUUAGUAGAACUCUCACUCAGUUAGGAGCCUGAGGAGAGUGGACGUAGGUAAGGAAGUGUCGAAUCACUAUAAAACCUGAAUUUGAUUUCUCUUACCUUAUCUCUUUUUAUUUGCUUAUUUUGUGCUAAAAUUUGUUAUGUGUUUAAAAAGAUUUUUUUUAAUUCCAAUUCACCCCCCCCCCCCCCCCNNNNNNNNNNNNNNNNNNNNNNNNNNNNNNNNNNNNNNNNNNNNNNNNNNNNNNNNNNNNNNNNNNNNNNNNNNNNNNNNNNNNNNNNNNNNNNNNNNNNCCCCCCCCCCCCCCCCCCCCCCCCCCCCUCUUGGGUGUUUUCUCUUUUAAAGAUUAGCCUUUAUUUUCUCAAGAGUAUUUCUUAUUACAUGCUUAAACUACCAAUAACCUAAUUCAUAGGAAAAAUAUGAUUACUUUGAGAUUUCACCCAUAGGUCAAAACCACUAAUAACCUAAACUCUAGUACAAUAAUCUCUCAAGAUUAUAACCCAGCAACAUAGUAUAUUGGAGAAGUCAAGUCAAUAGUCAUUUAAUCACAACUCUUUAUGGAUUAUGUUCAAUGUUUAAUAAUACACACUAAUACAUUCACUAUGCGAAAAUCAUCAACAAUGAACAAGACUAGUCACUCCACUAUUUAUAGGUAGUAUACCGUUAACAUUUUUUGAAUUACAAGAAAAUUUGAUACAUUUUUUUCCUUUUUAAAUACUUAUGAAUUAUAUAUAUAUAUAUAUGUAUGUAUGUAUAUAAUUAUGAGAUGUGAUCGUUAUACAUCUAUAAGAUUAUAUAUAUGUGGGACUCAUAGGGAGUUAAUUUCUGUCCAUUUAUGUUUUAAUUUUUCUCUAUUUAUGUUUAACAUUUCAUUUGGAUGUCACAAGAACAAUACAAAAGGAAAAAAAAAAAAGGAAAAAGACUAAAAUGAAAAAGAUAAAGGAAGGAUUCUUCAAUUUUUAUUUAAUUUUGAGAGAAUGAAUUAAUUUUUAUUUUUAUUUUUUAAAUGAUUGAGCUCACUGGUAGUAGCUAAAGUUGCUAGUCCAUUUUUCACUUCUGCAGCUUUGCUUAAGAAGUGUGUAGAUCAGCUUUUUUUUUUUUCUCUCUUUCUCCCUUUUUCUUUUUUAUUUUCUAGGCUAGAAGGAGUAUUUGCUGAUAUGGUGGGAACAUUUGGAUACAAUACUUUUGCAAUAAUUGAUAGGUUGGAUGUAAGAAAACAAAAAGAAAUAGCUACACUAGCUCAUGACAAAACUUAAAAGAACUGUAAAAUUUCAUUUAAAUGUUAGACAAUAACAAGAAAUAAUCCUUAAUUUGUUUUAUUCAUUUUUUGGAGGAUGAUUUAAAUUAAAGAAAAUAAAAUUGAUGAGCUCCCUAGCUAGUUGCAAGUGAAGUUGCCAGCUUGUUUAUACUUCUCUUUUCUUUUGAAAUGAAUGGGUAAUAACUUGAAUUUUUGUGUAUUCCUUGAGUGAGAUUAGCCCCCAUUUGUACUCACCAAGGGGAGAAUGGAGUACUUGUAGGUUUGGUGGGACAUUUGGAUUUGAAUUUGCAAUUAUUGGAUAUUUGGAUAUGUAAAUUAAUAAUUUCACUCCCAUAAAGACAAUUGGAUCUUACCAAUUGCAAAUAGAACAAUUAGCACAUCCUGAGAAAAGGUUAAAAAAGCAAAUAAUAAUAAUAAUAAUUACAAAGCAGGCUUAAAAGAAAAUUAUUUCUAGUGCUGGAAGAAAAGGCAUUCUUACCGCACCCCAAGAUCUGCUAUUUGCCCAACUGUAAAAUUGAAAACAUAAGGUCCCACUAUUGCCUAAUAGCUUUUCUAAGUUGUCUAAAUACAAAAUAAAAUGCAAGGAGAAAGAAGCAACAGAUGAUACAAGUAACGAUUGGAAGCCCAGAGGAAAGUGGUAACACAGCGUAUAUGCCCGUCAUGAAUGCAACCACCAUUGCUCCCAUACCAAACAUAGUGAGAAAAGCUUCUGUGGUUAAGUGUUCUCCGAUUAGUUCCUCGUUCCUAUGCGACAAUAUAGGAAAAUAAACAAACGCUGGAGAUACAGAGAGCGUCACGGCUAUAGUGUCCGCCACAACAAAUGCUUUGAAAGCUGCUUUCUUUGUUAAAAUUGUCAUCCCAUCAUUGUCAUUGUAACCACCAGGCAAGGUGAAACCCGCUGCAAAGGUUACAGUUGCUAUAAGUGCUGCCACUAUCAAAUGGUCUUUACCUACUCUCUUUAUGUUACAGAUGUGUGUCUCUAAGUCUAAGUAACCGAAAGCUUCUGCCUGCUAUGAUGUCUUCGCUUUCAUUAGUACCACCAUUGUCUUGUCGGGUUUUGCAACUAGUACUAGAAUUCUCCUCGUCUUUAUUGAUAGUCCCUUGCCAACUGAAGGGUCCGACAACAACUUUCUUCCAUUCCUCCAAUUGUUUUACCAGUUCCGCCUGAAAUUUUAUUUAUAAAAACACAAGAAAAUUGUUGUCACUAUUUUGGCCUUCGGCACUUCUUUUUAACUUUUCCCACCUUCUCUCACAACAAAGGAAAAUGGAUGAUUAAUAAUAGAUAAACUAAUAAAAAUAUUAAGUUAGGAGGCUAACCCCGAACUUUUGUCCCAACUUAAUGUUUUCCCUUGAAAGAAUGUCUAGGGUAGUUAACUUGUCGUCGUCGAGUGCCAUUUUAUCCACUGUAUUGUCCAUUGAGGAAACUGGAUUAUAACAUUGGCAAGAAGAAAUCAGGUGGAAGGCUGUGUCUCCCUUAGUAUCCUUCUCAUUUACAUGUCCUCCCACUCUUUAACUUAUUGUCAUUCGGGAACAAACCCACUCUUAACUUAUUGUCAUUCGAGAACGAACCAUCAAUAGCAAAAGGCCGUUUGCUCAUUGCGGCAAAGUGAAGAAAAUUAUUUCCCUGCUCACAACAAUCUGCAGAGUGUGAGAGUAGAAGCUUUACUGUCUCUAUAUGGUGGCGGUUAGCUGCAAAGUGAAGUGCUGUUUUCUUGCUAUCUUUGAUUGCGAGGUAAGUUACAGACUUAUCUGAUGAUUUGUCUAGUAAUUGCUCCACAAUUUUAGUACAACCCAAGUAUGCAGCACAGUGAGGGGAGACCACCCAUUUUCAUGCAUCCACUUAUUUUGUUAGAUCCGGCUUCCAUUGUAAUAACUUCGCUGCCAUUUCUUAUAAACAAAUGAACCAACAAAAAAAACAAAAAACAGCAGAGAAAAAAAAAUUAAGAAAUUCCCUCUAGUAAAGCAUGACCCCUACAGGUGAUCGUGAUCUCUAACAAUAUAUUGCAUGAGUAACUAACCAUGUAGGAAUCAAGAUUCAAGAAAAGGAUCUGCGUAUAUGUUACCUUGGUCCUCACGGAUUACAGAAGCAUGCAAAGCCGUUCUACCCAUUAUGCCACUGUGAGAUGGUGAAGCCCGAGUGUUGCCUAUAAUUAUACCAACCAAGUCUCCACAUCCUUUCUCGGUCGUCAUGUAAAGAGGAGUGUGGCUUGUAGUAUUAGCACCGUGGAUAAAUUCAGGGUCUUCCUCAAUCAAUGACUUCACAAUCUAUGAAUGAUGAUACCGCACCGCCUCAUGUAAGGCUGUGUGUUUCUCCUUAUUGGUCAUCCUCAGCAUGGCCUUGUCUGUUCCAACCCCACUUUCGAUCUCUAGGUGAAGUGCUUUUGCAGCAUCAAGGAGAGCUCUCACAACCGGCCCAUGCUCUUCUCUCGCAGCAAGGUGAAGUGGAGUGUCGUCUUUCAGAUUGGGCUUCUGCAGUAGAGGUGAACAUGAAUGAAAGUGAAGGAUCCACUCUACGCAUGCCAGCUAACUGAACUGGGCUGCAAUGUGGAGGACAGUGUUCCUUUUUGGGGUUCUUUGGAGUUGAAGAUGAUCUUCUGAGUACUUUUUCUCGAGGAUAUUGAUAUCACCUUCCUACAAAGCCUCGCACAAAUCAGCAUCCAUGUGGGUGAUCUCAGUUUGGCCAUAAGCUGCAAUCUAGUUCGACAUCUCAAUUCGGCUUGAAAAGGUUUCCAAGUUAAGGUUAUGCGAUUCGGAGCUGGACUGAUUCACCAUUGGCGUUGGAGGAACAAAGUAAUAAUCAACUCUUCAAAUUCUAUAUAGAGAGCAUAUGUGGAAGGGAAAGUUGUUUGUAUAUAUAUAUAUAUAAAAAGUGGGUAAUAUUUAUAUAAUUAGUAGUGAAUGUUUUUACUAAACCCAAAUUUAUUUGUAACUUUUUCUCCUCUUUCCUUUUUCGUUGCACUUUUGCAUUCUUGGUUGCGUGUCUGGAUGGAGCCUAGAGAUAAGGCUUAAUUUUACGUGUCUCACCUGAUUCUACUGCAUUAUAUACAAUAGAGAAUAAGCUCACUGUGGCAUAACUCUUUAGCUAGAGAGAGAUUUAAGCUUAUGCUUGGUACUAAAAUUAAGAUUUCAUUUUAGUAUUGGUAAAAAACCUAGAUCUUCGAGUCAAAAGUUUCACAUUGAUCGUUAGGUUUAUUAGUGGGUAAAAAACCACGAGUCAAAAGACAUUACGUGUUUUUAUUAGAAUUGUGUCAAGGUAUACACGAUUUUAUUCGAAUUGCAUUUUGGAUUGGUUCUUUAAUUGAGAUGGUACACUUGGAGUAUUUAUUAACUUAUUGUUAACAAAAAUUACUCCAUCGAUCCUAAUUUAGCGAUUAUUUAAGCUGCUUUUACCACCACCAACAAUUCUAGUGGUUUAAAGCAAUUUCAACCAUAUUAUCAGCCAUUUUAUCAUGUCAUCUUCCAAAAAUAACACAAAAUACUAGGGAUUGUAAUUUGUGCUUGUGGGUGGUGUUUGUGUUAUUUUAAAGCUUAUCCAGCAUGAAUAAUAAUCGUGUUAAAAAUAUAAAUCAAAAUACUAUCUAUUUAUUAAAUGGGUAGUGCAUCAUGUAACCCAUUUAAUUUAUUUAGUAAUUAGGUCUUUCUAUUUAAUAAUUAGGUUGAAUUAGGUAUUGCAUACACUUAUAUGAUUAAUUUCUCAGUCAAACAUAUUUAUAAUUUAAUACAUCUAUUUAUUUAAAAAUAAAUUAAUUUAAAAUAAGUCGAAGAUGAGUUAAAUAGUUUAAAGUUAUAAUUAAGUUAAUUAGUGAAAUUAUUAAAUCAAUCCAUUCUAAUCAAAUUUGUGUUAUGUAGGUUGAUAUAAAAUCUACAUAUUUAUUAAAUGUGUUAUACAGACUAACAUAAUUUUGAUCCAAAUUUAAUUAUAGUUGGUCCAAACUUGUAAAAAACAUGUUAAGUUUGAGUCAUGUUGACAUAUUGUAUCAAACUUUAUCAUCUCUACAAAAUACAAUAUUAAGGCCCAAACUAUUAAUAAUCACACAUGCUAAAGAGAGGAAAACCUAAAGGUUAACCAUUUUCAUGAUUGCAAGAUAUUUUUUCCUAGGGAAAAGUGUGCUUCCAUACUCAUAUUUAACAAUAUCACAUGAUGAAAAUCCUUAAAAGUAAUUCAAGUUUGAUGCACUCUAAAAUCAAGAUAACAUUUAGGGUAGUCAAAGAUAUUACUAAUAUUAUUAAAAAUAGUACCUAUUUGCUAAAAAGUAUGUAAAAUCUGAAUUAUUUUUAGAUAAAUAUAUUCAAUUUGAAAAUUUUAAAUUGAGAUUGUUAUAUGAUUUUUUCAAAUGUGUGUAUGAAAACACAAUUUAAUCUCCCUAAUUUUCUUUAUAAAGCAUGGUACCAAGGACAGUUGUUUGGCGUAGAAGUCCAUGUUUCUUUGUUCGUUGUCUAUUUUGUGAUUUUUUUUCUUUUUUCUUUUUCUUUUUGUGGGGACCGAGUGUAGUAUUUGUUUGGUAGAAUUUUCUCUUUUAAUUAUUCUUUUUCUUUCCUUUUGGUGGGGGAUGAAGCGUAAUUUUUGUCCAUGGCUUUCUUUUUCUUUUAUCAGGGACAAGUGGAAUAUUUGUUUGUUAGAAUUUUCUCUUUUAAUUAUUAUUUUUCUUUCUCUUUUGGUGGGGGAUGAAGGGUAAUAUUUGUCCAUUAUUGAUUUUUAUUUUUUUUAAGGGACAAGUCAAAUAUUUGUUUGUUAGAAUUUUCUCUUUUAAUUAUUAUUUUUCUCACUUUUGGUGUGGAUAAAGCAUAAUAUUUGUCCAUUACUGAAUUUUCUCUUCUUUUUUUUUUUUUUCCUUUUAUAGGGAUGAAGUGAAAUAUUUGUCUGUUAUUGAAUUUUCUCUUUUAAUUUUUCUUUUUCUUUCACCUCUUUCAAUUCUUCUUUUUCUUUCUCUUUCGUGGGGAUGAAGAGUAAUAUUUGUCCAUUAUUGAAUUUUCUUUUUUUUUUUGUGUGAACGAAAUGAAAUAUUUGUCGGUUAUUGAAUUUUCUCUUUUAAUUAUUGUUUUCUGUUUUCUUUUUGUGGGGCUGAAGCAGAAUAUUUAUAAUUUUGUGUUUCUCUUUCACUUCUUGUGGGGACAAAGUGAAAUACUUGUCCUUUAGUGUUGACAUUUGGAUAAAGAAACGGGUAGGAAAUAGUUACAUAACUUGGCAUCAAAAUGCUUUUAAGUUAACUUCAACUUAAAUAUAAAUAUUCCUUCCGACAUAAAGAAACUAAAGGAAAAAGAAUGGGAAGAAGUUCCAAAAAUUUUUAACCCAAUUAAGUAGAUUAUGAAAAUCAGUUAAUCUCUCAAUGGAGCCCCUAGUGUUUUCUUCUUUUCUUUUCAAGUGAUAUCAUCUCUAGCCAAUUCUUAAAUGUCAAAUUAGCUCUUCCAUUAGGAUUUUCCGUAGGAAUUGAUGAAAAAACUCAUCCUAAAAAUAGCAUUAGCAUAAAAUUUUAUAUCAUAGGUUGGAAUAUGUUCAAAUUUUUUAUGUGUUGAUGAUAUGUUUCCAUCCAUUUUUUACACAUAAAAAAACUUUUAAAAAAAAUUCAAUAUUUAAGGAUAGUGUAGGAUUAAUAUUAUAACAAAAAUAAAUAAAUAAUUGGGGACUUAUAAAUUGAGAUAUAAGUAAAAAUAUAAAUUUCACACAGAAGAGUAAAUCAAAUUAGAAAAAAGAAAUUAUUGAAUUUCAAUAACAUUUUUCUUUCUUUCCUUUUUGUUUCCCAUUGUUUUUAACGUGUUGAUGGAGCCAUAACAUGUGUGUUGGUCAUAUGUUCCCUUUUGUUUAAGCAUUGACCCAAAGCCUUGGUGGAUCUAUAUGGUUAUGUUUGGUUCUAAAAAUAAAAAUAAAAAAUAGAUUUAAGACUAAUAAAUUAUUUGUAUAUGUUUCUUCAAAAGUUAUUUCACUUAUUUUCCUUCAUUAUAUAAAUAUUAAAUAAUUUAAAAAUAUAUAAAUUUUUAAAAAAAUUUAAUUAUAUUUAUUAAAUUAUGAGUAUAUAUAUAUGCAUUUCAAAUAUAAAUUAAUCUAAAAAAUGUUAAUAAACAUAAUAGUUGAAAUAUCUUAAAACACUACUACCUCUAUCAAGAUAUAUGUGUUAAUAUCCUCCAAACUUUGUCAUUCAAGUUAAAACAAGAGUUGGAAGUAUAUCAUAAUAAAACAAUUGUUUUUCUAGAGAUGAAUAGUAUCUUUUAGCUUAGGUUCACAUUCUUAGUGGACCCAAUUAAUUAGUAAGUGAAAUUUCAAACAUAAAUCAAUCUCAAAUAUUAAUAUCGAUAAAGACUAUGGAAGAAAAUAUCGAGAUAUAUCAACGAUAUAUUACCAAUAUAUCGUGUAUCAGAGGUUAUGGAAAUGAUAUUUGGUGAAGAAAUAUCGUUCUAGCGAAAUUUCGGGAAAAAUCCUAAAAAAUCGACGAUAUUUUGCGAUAAAUCCCAAACAAAAGAUUUGAGGUUCAGCUCACCUUACCACUAGGACAAGUUUGUUCCUUGUUGAAUAUGAUGCACUAAAUGUAUAUUCAAAGUCAUCAUAUAAAAAAAAUAUUAAAAUAAUAUUUUAGAGAGUAAAUUCAUUAUAAUUAUUUUAUAAUUAAAUGCAAAAAAUUCUUUUAGUUGAUUACCAAAAAUAUAAAAAUUAUCAUGAUAAUUUUCUUCAUAGUGUUUUUAAUAUCAUUAAUAGAUUAAUUAAAUAUUAAAAAUUUGCACAUAUAUCAUAAUUUAUUUUAUAUCAUUUAAUACAAUUAAAUUAAAUGAAUCAUAAUUUUAAUAUUAAUAUAUAUUUUAAAAUUAGACAUAUUAUAAUCAAAUAUCAUAAUAGUAUUAUGAAAUAAUAUUUGAUGUAAUUUAAUAAUAAAUGUACACUUACAAAAUUCAUAUUUUUAUUGAUACAUACAAUAUUAUUAUCAAAUAUGAUAAAUCAUAUUAUACGGAUAUCAAAUUCUUUAAUAAAAUAAUUUUAAAAUAUAUAUUAUACUUCUAAUUAUUUUUUAUGAAAUUUUUCUUAUAUUUUUAUAAACUUUGAUCAAUUUUAAGCCUAUCAAUAUUUUUUUUCCAAAAUAUUUAUGAUAUAUUUGAUAUAUGCGUAAAAUCGAAAUACCGAUAUAUUCAUAAUUACUAAUAUUUUCAUCCUUAAUAAAAACUAGAUAUAUACCAUAUCAAAAUGAUAAAAGUAUCUUAAAACCCUCCCACCUUUAUCAAAGAUGUAAGUAUUAAUAUCCUCCAAGUUUUGUCAAAUUAAAACAGGAGGUAGAAAUAUAUUAUAACAAAAUAAUUAAAACAGGGUACAUAUUUGUCAUUCCACUUAGGUUCACAUUCAAAUAUAUAUAUAUAUAUAUAACACACAAUUCACUCAAAUCUUAAUAGUUUUUAUCAAAUCCACAUCAUCGUUUCUUGUGCAAAUAUGGGAAAAACCAUCAAACCCAAUAAAAACUCAUUAAAAAAAAUCUAAUUAUAAUAUAAUUACAAAAAAAAAUCUUAUUUCUAAAAACAAAAAUGAAACAAGAUUUGGUGAAAGUGGUAGAUGUAUCUAUGUUCAAACACUACUAAUUAUAUUCUAAGAGUUAAAAGGAGUAGAUAGAGGUACAAAUGUGCAAUAUAAUUGUUUUGGUAGAAGUGUUUGUGGCUCCUUCAAAUCUUUAAGUCCGUAUUUUCAAAGUUGUUUGUCCAAAUAGGAUUUUCUUUUUCUUUAGCUUGUAAAGAUUAGAGAAAUAAAGAUUUAUUUUUAAAAAAAAUUAAUUUAUAUAAAUUGAAUUUAAAAUAAAAAGUUAUACUCACAAGUAAAUGUAAAAGUUGAAAAAUUAUCCAAAAAAAAUUGUUUUUUCUUUUUGUUAUACUAUCAAAAAAAUUUCUUCUUAUUUUUAUAAAUAAAAAAUAAACCUAGGAUUAGAAAAUAUUUUUUUCUAAAAAUUUUAGAAAAUGUAUUUCCUAAUUGGGCUGUUGCAAUAGUGAUGAAGGAGAACGCGGUUGAAGGAUCCCGUUGACGCAGUCCGUUUGACCAAAUUGGGCCACAACAUGGAUUACUUAGUUCUUUUUUGGGGUUAGUUGCACUUGAAUAUCAUACUGCUCAAGUACAUGCAUGUCACCGUCUUCUGUAGGAUCCAUGAAUGUGAUGUGGGUCAAGCUACCAUCUUCAGCUGCAGCCUGGUUGGUGAUCUGGAUUUCCCUAGCAUCUUCAGCUCCAACCUUAUUGGACUCUGUACCCAAGUUAAGGCUGGAAGUAGUGGAAUCGGCCAUUGUUGUUUGAUGAGUAGUCUCUGUUCUAUUUUGCGCCAAGGAUGGGAAACAAGUUGACCACUUGUUUCAUGGAAUGGGUGGCUCUUAGCUCAACCUUGGGAGACGCUGAUACUUCUUAUAGCCUGCUGGCCAAAACGUUAGGCUGAUGACAAUUUCCCAUCUCAUUGGAUGGAUCCAUAUGCAUAAACAGUGCAAAGAAAUAUUUGGUCACGUAUUCAAUUCUUAACAAUCCCUUGUAUGAUCAAAUAAGUUCAUUGAAUUUUACCCAAAAAAAUAUAAGCAUUAUUCUAAUUAUGUCUUUUAUUUUUAUAAAUAUUAAAUAUAUUUGGUAGCUUCAUUGUUCUUAAAAAUUAUAAAUACAAAAUUAUUUUUGCUAAUUGUAUUAAAAAUAAUAAAUACAAUAUUAAUUUUUAUAAUUAUUAUAUGUUAUAUUUUUUAUGAUUUUUCAGUGGAUUUUAGUGACUUCAAUGUCGACAAGCAACACAUACAUGUUGUUUGUUUAAUUGUAGAAAAACAAGAUAUGGUGAGUUUUGCUUGUUAAUUUUGUAAAUUGAAAUAUGAAAACCGUUGGUUUCUUUCCAUUUAUGUUUUAAUUUUUCUUUAUUCAUGUUUAUGUUCUUAUUCCUCAUUUUUUUUUUCAAUUUUUAAUUUAAAUAUGGGUAUGGAAUCAUAAAUGUCCAUCUCUUAAAGUAAUCCACAUUAAAAUGUACAUCAAAUAAAUUUAAGCGAUGAUUAAGAAUAGGGACAUGAAACUUGGGAAAGGGCUAGAAUGUAAGUUGUUUUUUGAAAAAUAAUUUUUUAAAAUAGUUUUUAAAAGUUGUUGUCGAUGCCUAAGAUAAAAAUUUGUUUGAAAACUUGAAAUACUUUUAAUAUAUUUUUAAUGUUUUUAAAUGUAUUUUUAAAAUAAUUUUUUAUAUUUAAUAUUUUAUUUUUAAUUAUUUUAAUUAUUUAUAUAAUUAUUUUUUAAAACAUUUAUUAGAAAAUAAGUGAAAACUGUUAUUUAAAAACACCGUUGUAGACCCUCGUUUUGGUCAAAGUCUCUCUGGGGAGUAUAUUUUUACCACCCUGGGAAGAGCUGGCAGCUAGGUUUUUUGGUUUUCGGAUGAGCCAAGUCUGGGACGCAUGGCCAAAGACAGCACCACCUUGCCAUGGUGGUGGUUGAGAGAGGGACGUCUGAGAACAGAGCAUGGUGGGAAUAGAGUGUUUCAGAGAAUGAUGGCAGGAGCAGUGGAACGGGUGGGAGGACGUUGACAAGAAAGCCGAGAAGAGAGGGAAAACGGAAGGGGGACUGAGACUUUUGGGGAGGAAAGGGAGAGCUGGGAUUGAGAGAGGAAGGGAUUUUUUUAAAGAGGACAAUUUUUUUUUUUAGAGAAAAACAGGGGAGCUUUCCGACAACCCCUCCAACAGCAACUCCACCACCGGCCACUUCGCCACCUGCUACCCCUCCACCGGCUCAUCUCGCCUCUCCACCAGCAGCGGUUCCAGCGCUAGCUCCAAGGACGAAGGUGAAAUCUCCGGUCGUGGCUCCAUCGCCACUUACAAUAUUUUAAGAAUAAUUUUUUUAAAUUACCGUACUAUUGAGAAAAGUCCGAGUCGACCACCACUGGUAAUUUGAUAUACAAGCUCGGAGGUAUUGACAAGUGUAUUAUUGAGUAGUUUGAAAAAGAAGCCGCUGAAAUGAAUAAAUGACCAUUCAAGUAUGCUUGGGUCUUAGACAUACUCUAUUACCAUUGAUAUCGCUUUAUGGAAGUUUGGGACCAUUACGGCAUUACCAUUGAUAUUGCUUUAUGGAAGUUCGGGACCAUCAAAUAUUAAUGCUCAUGGUCAUUCGAAUUUCAUCAAGAACAUGGUUACUACUUACUAGCACCUCACAAGUCACAAGCAGACUGUCUUGUUUUCAUUAUUAAUUCCACCACUGGUUGAGCAUGUAUUGCUUGUUUACACCAAGCCCUUGGUGUAAGCACAUGAUUUGCUGUUGUAACGAGAUGGAUGCCACACGUCCUCUUAAUCCUUCAUCGUGACAAAUAUAUAUUUAAAAAAAAAAAAUCAAAUUUUAAGUAAUUUUUCAAAAUUUCCCUUUUUAAAAUUUAAUUAAAAAAAAUCCAUUUUCAAAAUCCCUCUUUUCAAAUUUAAUUUACAAAACUUUUUUUUUAAAACAACUUUUCAAAAUCUCAAUUCUCAAACUUAAUUUUCGAAACUCUCGUCUUCAAAUAAUUUUUAAAAUUCCAAUUCUCAAAUUUAAUUUUCAAAACUUCCAUUUUCAAAUAAUUUUUCAAAAUUUCAAUUUUCAAAUUUAAUUUAAAAAAAAAAUCAUUCUCAAAUAAUUUCCCAAAAUUCCAAUUUUCAAAACUUUAAUCUUGAAAUAAUUUUCCAAAAUUUCAAUUUCCAAAUUUAAUUUUCAAAACUUCCAUUCUCAAAUAAUUCUUCAAAAUUCCAAUUUUUUAAAUUUAAUUUUCAAAACUUCCAUUUUCAAAUAAUUUUCUAAAAUUCCAAUUCUCAAUUUUAAUUUUCAAAACUUUAAUCUUCAAAUAAUUUUCAAAAAUUCCAAUUUUCAAACUUUAAUCUUCAAAUAAUUUUUCAAAAUUCCAAUUUUCAAAACUUCUAUUUUCAAAUAAUUCUUCAAGAUUUCAAUUUUUAAAUUUAAUUUUCAAAACUUCAAUUUUCAAAUGAUUUUCCAAAAUUCCAAUUUUCAUCUCAAAUUUAAUUUUCAAAACUCUCAUUUUCGAAUAAUUCUUUAAAAUUCCAAUUUUUAAAUUUAAUUUUCAAAACUUCAAUUUUCAAAUGAUUUUCCAAAAUUCCAAUUUUCAUCUCAAAUUUAAUUUUCAAAACUCUCAUUUUUGAAUAAUUCUUUAAAAUUCCAAUUUUUAAAUUUAAUUUUCAAAACUUCCAUUUUCAAAUAAAUUUUCAAAAUUCCAAAUUUCAAGUUUAAUUUUCAAAGCUCCCAUUUUCAAAAUUUUAAAUAUAAAAAUGAAUAAAUUUUCAUAAUUUCAUAGUAAUGGAAUUUAUGAGAAUUAACUCAUAACAAAAUCAAUAGGGCUUUGGGGGGCUCUACAUAUGAGUUUUCUCUUUCUAUUGUCAACUGUUAUACUUAAUGAAUAUUGUUUGAUCUUUGUCUUGCUCUUUGAUAUGCAUGUGAUGAUGUUAUACUUGACCUAACCUUGUUUCCAUGAUAGCGCAUUAUUACUUGCUAUUAAGGUAUGAUCUCACUCCUACUUUGUUUUAUCCUUAUACAUGAUUUGUUUUAUUAUUUGAUCAUUUUAUUGGUAUCUAUUGAUUUCCUUAUUGAUUUCCGUUUUUAACUUUUCUUUGUUCCGUUCCAUCUUAUCCACCGUUUCAUCCAAUAUGAAAUCUACAUCAUUAACUCCGAAAGAAGCAAGCAGGUGUAUGGGUGUGUCUCCUUGAGCAUCUUUCUCAUUUACAAGUCCUCUCACUCUUAAUCCAUCCUUUAUUAAUACCUCACUACCAAAAUGAGAAGGGUGCUUCUUCAUCAUGGCAAAGUGAAAAACAUUAUUGCCAUUCUCAUCAACCUGCUCACAACAAUCUGGAGCAUGUGACAGCAGCAACUUUACUAUGUCCAUACAGCCAUUGUAACUUGCAAUGUGAAGGGCUGUUCUGUUGCUAUUUUUUAUUCCAAGGUAGAUUACAGACUUGUCUUGUGAUGAUCCGUCUAGUAAUUGCUUGGUAAUUGCGGCAUCACGCAUGUAUGCAGCACAAUGAAGCGGAGACCAGCCAUUUUCAUCCACUUCUUUGAUUAGCAUUGGCUUCCANNNNNNNNNNNNNNNNNNNNNNNNNNNNNNNNNNNNNNNNNNNNNNNNNNNNNNNNNNNNNNNNNNNNNNNNNNNNNNNNNNNNNNNNNNNNNNNNNNNNAAGAAAAUUAAUUAUAAAAUGAACACUAACGCAUUACUAUAGGCCUUAUAUGCACUAUCUUGGUGACGGCAGAGUACAGUAGCAUGCAAAGCUGUUCUACCCUCGAUGCCUUUGUGAUCUGAUGAAGGACUGGUGUCUAUGAUUAUUUCCACCAAGUCCUCAUAUUCUCUCUCUACAGCCAUGUAAAGAGAAGUGUAGCCUGUACUGUUAGCACCAUAGAUGAAGUGAGGGUCUGCCUCAAUCAAUAACUUCACCACUUUUGAGUGAUGAUAUCGCACCGCCUCGUGCAAGGCUGUGUCUUUCUCCUUAUUGGUGAUCCUCAGCAUCGCCUUGUCUGUUCCAACGCCACUUUCGAUCUCUAAGUGAAGUGCUUUUGCAUCAAGGAGAGCUUCCACAACCGCCCUAUGGCCUUCUCUCGCAGCAAGGUGAAGUGGAGUGUCGCCUUUCAGAUUGGGCUGCUGCAGUAGAGGUGAACAUGAAUGAAAGUCAAGGAUCCACUCUACACAUGCCAGCUAACCGAACUGGGUUGCAAUGUGGAGGACAGUGUUCCUUUUUGGGGUUAGUUGGGGUUGAAGAUGAGCAAAUUCCGAGUACUUCCCCUUGAGGAAACUAAUAUUGUUGAGAUAUUAGGAAUGUUUUCCUUAUAUCAUUCUUUCCUUAUAUCAUUUAGUGUUGAGAUAUUAUGAAUGUUUAAAUAUUAGGAAAGUUGAGAUAUUAGGAAUAUUGAGAUAUUAUGAAUAUUGAGAUAUUAGGAAUAUUGAGAUAUUAGGAAAGUUGAUAUAUUAGGAUAUUAGUUGUUAUUUCCUUAUAUCAUUCUUUCCUUGUAUCAUUCUUUCUCAUUCUUAGAAUGGUGAUUACCCUCUAUAUAUACUCUGUACAUGAGCGAAUGAAAAAAUUAAUGAAAAACUAUCAUUUAUCAAUUUGAAGAUGGUAUCAGAGCCAUGAAAUUGAAAUCCUGGAUAUUUUGUCGCUAUGGUGGUCCGACAGCGAUCAACCAUCCUAAGACAAGCCCUAAUAUUGAUAAGUCAACCUUCAAAUGCACUCACUGCAAUAAGACUGAUUCCACCAGUCUGGAUAUCCCACAAUUUCAAAGCAACGACUCUUGGUAUGACUAGGAAAACAAUGAGGAACCGAGGGUUUGAACCCUGGACCUUUAGAUCAUGUUUAGGCUAUCACCACUUUGUUAUUAAUGAUAAUAAUCGUGAUCAAUGGAAGAAGGAUUCCAAGAAAACCUCGACUACAACUGUUGCCGAAAUAAAAACAAGGCUAAUGUUGCUGAGAAAGCCUCUGCAUUGGUAGCCGCUACAGAUCAUGGUGGUAAGUUUUUAAAUACUUUUACACCUGUUAUUAAUAGUGCAUGGAUAAUUGAUUCUGGUGCUACAGAUCAUAUGACUUUUGAUUCUAGACAGGUUUCACCUCUUAGACCUUCCUCACAAAAAAUUGUUUCCACAACCAAUGGUAACACAACCCCAGUCAUUGGGGAAGGAUCCUUAACUCUUAAUGAUACUUUGAAUUUGGAUUUUGUUUUAGUUGUUNNNNNNNNNNNNNNNNNNNNNNNNNNNNNNNNNNNNNNNNNNNNNNNNNNNNNNNNNNNNNNNNNNNNNNNNNNNNNNNNNNNNNNNNNNNNNNNNNNNNAUCCAAAUAAGACAGACGAUUGGUUGUGGUAUUAAGCGAGGAAAACUCUAUUACUUGGACUUGCAGUCAAAGGAUUCAAAUAAGUUGCAACAAGCCUUGAUGGCAGAUGAAUCUAAAGAGGAGAAGAAAAAGUCUGAAAUUUGGUUGUGGCAUCGACGUCUGGGACAUGCUUCCUUUGGCUAUUUAAAAAAAUUGUUUCCUAGUUUGUUUGCAAAGAGUGAUAUUUCUAGUUUCCGUUGUGAUAUUUGUGAAUUGGCUAAAAGUCAUCGUGCUUCGUUUCCGUUAAUUUUGAUUAAAAGUCCGCUUCCUUUUAUGGUUAUACAUUCUGAUGUUUGGGGCCCAUCCAAAGUCCUAACUUUGAGUGACUCACGUUGGUUUGUUACUUUUAUUGAUGAUUGUACCAGAAUGACAUCGUUAUGCUUGAUGAAGGCCAAAGAUGAAGUGAACUUGUUGUUUCAAAAAUUUCAUAAAAUGAUUGAAACUCAGUACAAUGCAAAGGUUCAGGUUUUGCGUAGUGAUAAUGGUGGAGAAUAUCAGAGUUCUGAUCUUCAAAAGUAUUUGGAAGAACAUGGCAUCAUUCAUCAAACUACUUCUUCCAAUACACCC